rnacentral:lncRNA from 1 species
CCCUGUGGAUGUUAUCUUCAGUACUGAUCAGGUCUUCCGAUGCUGCUGGAAUUGCCACCUACUGGGGCCAACACACCGACGAAGGAAGCCUGGAAGACGCAUGCCGGAGAAAUACCUACGACUACGUGAAUCUUGCCUUUCUGAUAAAUUAUGGCGGUGGCCAGACACCAGAAUUGAACUUAGCUGGGCAUUGUGAGCCAAGCGAUUGCUCCUCGCUUAGUUCUGAGAUAAAAGCUUGCCAGAGCCGAGGCACCCAAGUGCUUCUUUCUCUCGGUGGAGCUCCAAACCUCUCUUCCGCCGAUGAUGCCAAGGAAGUCGCGUCCUAUCUCUAUAAUAAUUUCCUUGGCGGUAAAUCAGAAAAUCGUCCAUUAGGCGAUGCUGUCUUAGACGGAAUAGACUUUCAUAUCCAAGCUGGAAAGAGGGAUUUCUUGGAUGAUCUCGCCAAGGCGCUCUCAGAAUAUAGCACAUCAGAGAGAAGGGUGCACUUAUCUGCAGCACCACAAUGUUUCUAUCCUGACUAUUAUCUCGACGCUGCUAUCAGAACUGGCCUCUUUGAUUAUGUGUGGGUGCAAUUUUACAACAAUCCGCCUUGUCAGUAUAGUAUGGGCAAUGCCAACAACCUCUUCUACAGUUGGAGUUCUCAUUGGGCUUCAUACCCAGGAGUUAAUAAACUAUUCCUGGGAUUACCUGCAUCCCCUGAAGCCGCUCCUAGUGGCGGUUACAUUCCACCUCGGGUGCUUAUUCGCGAAAUUCUUCCCUAUGUCCGGGGCUAUCCCAACUAUGGAGGCGUCAUGCUUUGGAACGCAUUCUAUGACGAGAAUUACAGUCAGGCAAUCAGGCCUUAUAUUAACCCUGAAACGCUGGCUUGCGAUCGCAAGUCCAUGCUAAAGUCCCCAAGCAAUUGCGACAUAAAGAUAAAGUCUUAUGUGACUAAAUAAGUUCCUCUCGUUGUCAUAUGAGAGAUGAAAAAAUGUAAUCAUGGCUGUCUAAGCCAGAGAUAACGUGAAUAAAUAUAACAUGGGUUAUCAAUCCCCAGAGUUUGAUUGUCAAUUCGUGUUUGUUCUUGAUUAUAAUUUAGCACGAACGAUAUCAUUAGUUCUAGUUUCCUCUUAUUCUUCGGGAAAAAAAGGUAUUAAAGAAGAAAAGAACAUGCAAAAAGUGCCAGAUCAAAGUCAAUAUCAUUAGAGAUAUAUGUUCUCCAAAAUCAAUGUGUUCAUACAAGAACCUUUUAUGUUUCGGCACAUCUCUACUGUUGAGAAUAUUUAUGGUUCUGUUUGCUUCCACUCAAUGUUUAUAUUAUAUGUAAAACUAAACUUCCAUCACUUCCAGACUUUAAUGUGAAUUGACGGAGCAGCACAAUUAUCCUGGAAAGUUAUGAAUAAUGCUUUUUUUUUAAUAAUGAAAACAAUGAUGGCCAAAACUUAAGAUUGGUGUAAAAUUCAGUUUAUAGUUUCACAUUAAAAAUUAUAAGGAUGGUAUGAACGCCACCAGGUACUUAUUAUUGUGUUUUAAACUUGAAAAGCACAUUUUUUUUUAUUUGGUUUUUUAUGACACGAUAACUUGAUGAUCCAAUUAUUCAAGUUGCCAAAGAGGGUGGCUAGAAAUAAAAGUCUAAAAUUGAAGAACUAAGUGCACUUUUGAUAUACUUGAAUUUAUUGUUUAUUAUAUGGAAAUAGUUUUUCAAUUUCAAAUGAUUUUGAUAUUUCGAAUGCUUUGGCAAGUUUAUUUGGACAAAGCUGUAGAAGCAGAAUAAGGGAAAGCCUUGGAAUAUAAUGAUGAUGAUGCUAAAAAUGAAGAUGUUAGUGUUUGAUUUGCAAAAGCAUUGGUAAGAAUAGUACUUAUUAUCUAGCUCUUUGGCCUUAUUAGUUUUUAGAUUUUCCUAAUAGUGUCAUUCUACACUUGUUUUUCUUUUUCAAGAUGAAGAAGAUUCAGCUGGUAGAGAAGUCAAGGAAGAGAUUAUAAUUUGUGUUGGCUUUAUUGUAGUACAAUUUAAUUAUUUUUUGGUAAAAUUUUAAUGUCUUUAUUACCAAGCAAUUAUGGAUUGUAAUCUCUCAAAGAAAAGGAAAAAACAAGAGAGAUUAUAUUAUUGAGAAAUUCUAUUAAUAAAGAUAAAGCUGUAGAAUAUGUAUACAAUGAUAAAUUACAACAAGUUACCAUAUUAUACAUUUCCAAUUUUUCAAAAAAAAAAUUUGAGAACAACACAACUACAAUUUUACUAUUUACAAGAUUUCACGACAAGUACUCACUCCCGCACCUUGCGUGGGUUCACCCCUAGUUUCACAAUAUGAGAAUAAGAAGAAAUAUUUACAGCAAAGUUUAGAGACUCUAGAAUACAGGAAUGGGACAGGUACGAUCGACUACAGGUGCAAUUGACGCAGUUGUUAUACCCUUUUCAUGAUUUGAUUUAUACUUACAUAAUUUCGCUGUAUUUUAUGAUUUGGUGUAUACUCACAUAAUUUUUAUUAUAUUUCAUGAUAAAUAAUAAAGUUAUAUGAGUAUAUAUCAAAUUAUAAAAAAGUACAAUAAUCGUGCCAACCACAACUAAUACCACACCGUACUUGUCCUACUGGAAUACUUAGUUAAUAUUCGAGACUGAGACCAUAGAGCAUUAAUCCUUCUCACAUUGUAUCAAACAGAGGUACUGUUUGACAAUUGAAUUUUUUGGGUGUUUGUCCAAAAUUUUACUAUAAGUUAUCGUAAAAUUUGUAAAAAAAAAACUUGUUUGGAUGGUAAAACUUUCUUCCUUUUUUUUAUCUUUUCUUUUUCCUCUCCUCUUGUUUCUCCCCCACCCAACCAUUGCUCUUCCUCCUCCCCUUCUUCCCACUACUAGCCACCAUUGCCGGUACCUUUGUCGGCAAUCGACAACGGUGCCAGUAGACCUAUUUUUUUCUUACUCUCUUUUCUCCCCUUCUCCCCCCCUCUCCUUCCUCCCUUUCCUCCUUUCUUCUCCUUCUUUCCUCCUUCCUACUCCCUCCCUUUGGGAGAUGGAGGACCGGAAGGGGGAGCGGGAUAGGGAGGGAGGAGGAAGGAGAUAGAGGAGAUGAGGAGAGGAAGGAAGAAGGAAGUAGAAGAGGGGAAGAGGAGAGAAGGAGGGGAAAAAAGGGAUGAGGUUGCCAAAGGCGCCGCCAAAGUGCCAACUAGCAGUAGUGGUGAUGGUGGGUUGAGACGUGGGAAGGAGGAAGAAGAAGAAGAAGAAGAAAAGAAAGAAGGAAAAAAUUUUUUUGUGUGUUUUUAGAUAUUUUCAAGUGUGUAUGUUGAAAAGUUCUUGAAGAGUUUUUUUUCAUUUUAUUGUAGUUAAAACUGUUAAAAAAACUUACAAAUGAAAAACUUAACAAAAAACUCGCUAAAUAGGACUAGAGUUUUGAUGGGCUAUGAUGACACAACGGAGGCAGCUCCUCCAUCCAGCCUAAGGAUAACAACAGAUGCAGCUCCUCCAUCCAGCCUAGGGAUAUCUGUAAUCUAAAGAAAGCUCCAGAACAGAGAGGUGGAACCAGAAAUAGUUUCUACUAGGCGCACAAACUGCUCCUAUUGGUUAAUUAGAUUGAGUUACAACUUAGAUCAAUGGCCUAAACCUUAACCACUACAAUCACCGACGCAUUUUUCUUUUCUUUUGCUCCAAAAAAAAGCUUAAAGUUAUAGUAAAAAUUAUUGGUAACAAAUGAAAAUCUAAAUUUAGCUCUAAAGUAGGCUAUAUUAUAGUAAUUGAUCCUCUCCUUAAUUUCACUCUUCCAGUAACUUUGAUAUAUCAUAAAUGAUCAUCCAUUAUUAUAGAUCUUGCUUUCUCCUUUCAAAAAUUUUUAAUUUGGAGCAAACUAUUUGAUUUUUAGUCAAGUUCCUACGUUGCACAACUCUACAUUGUGGAAUCUGUGAUUCGUAGUAUCUUGCCAAAUCUUCUUAAUUUGUUUAGUAUCUUGCACAAUCCAGCUUGGAAAGUUGGACUAGUUUGGGAAGUAAAAGAAAUGGAGUGUUGCUCCUAAUUUUUGGCCAUGAGGAAGAGAUCAACAAUUUGUUCAAUAUUUCUUCUUUUAACAUUAAAAGGAAAUGAAGGAGUGCAACAUAAAAUCUCAUAAAAUUUAGAAUCCUGUGUUUUGAUUGCACCCAAAAAAAGAAGAUGAGGUGGAAUUGUGAACACGAUAGAGACUUAGUAGAAUUAAUCAAAAGAAUUUAUUCUGGGAAUUAAUCAAAAGAAACCAUAAAAUAUUAUAGAAUUCAAUGGCCUAGACAGCAUUUGAUAAAACUGAAAAUUGAUUUCUGAAAUAUAAAGACUGAAAACUAAUUCCUAAGUUCUUAAUUUGCUUAUAUCCAUGAAGUCACAUCUAUUUGAUAAUCAAUUUAAUGCAAGCAUUGAAUUGAAAUAUUUAUUCCAUAUGUAUUUUGUAGUUUUUUUUUUCAACCAAACGUUGUACCAUUAUUCAAGCUGCCCAAGAAUACAAUGCUGGGAGGAAGGCCGCACCCUUACCUCCGAAACGAGAAACGAAAAUUACAAAAAUUCUGCUUAUCCAGUGCCAGUAACCCUCUAGUACGACACAGUAAUUGAGAAGCCCAAUGUAUUUUGUAGUUUAAUCCUAAAUGUGAAAGGUGUGUUUUAUGUUAGAUUAAUUUUUAAAUAUUAUUUUUUUGAUAAAUGUUUGUUUGAAAGAAGAAAAGCAUAGAUUCUACAUGUUUGAAGGGGAGAUUGUAUUUAGAUGUAUUAUAUAGAAGAAAAAAAAUAUAUAUAUAUAUAUUCUAGCGAGAGAGAACGUGUGUGGAUGUGUGAAAAUGUGAUCGAAAGAGAGUGUGUGUAUACUGUGUGAAAGUGUAUUGGUGAGCGCAAUGAUUCUUUUGAGUGAAUAUGAUUAAUACAUAUACUAGUUCAACAAAUUAAGUGAUACAACUUUCGUGUAAAUUUUUGUAUGUAAAUCAAAUGUGUCAUAAAUAUAAGCAAAUUUUAUUAUCAAACAAAUGUAGCAGGAAAGAAGUACUUAAUACAAUAACUUUGCGUACUUAAUGAGGUUAUCAAAUAUCUCCUUAACUCUAGAAAAAUAGUCUAUUAACAAAUUUGUGUUGAACUUAUUAAAUUGAACCAUGAAAUUUUUCCCAAGACCUCCAUUUAAUAGUGGGAUUUGUGUUGCAACAUGGUGAGGAUAUUGGACAGGUAACUAUGAGGUCGUAGUCAAACUUUCAAGAGAGAAGGAAAUGGUAAAAGAGCUCUUUACUUGGCUUUAAAUGCUGUAUCUUUAACGGGUAGGGUUUUUUUGGGAAGGGUUCCAAAAACAAUCAACGAAGGCUAGUGGCAAAUCAGCACGGAAAGAAGAUAAACCGAGAUUUCGGCGGCAGCUGGCAUACUUUCUUUCCUGAUUGCGAAACACCAUGUCGAAGCUAGGGUAUUUUAUCCAACCAGCCUAGAUUAGAAUUUCAAGACGUACGGCUUCUUCGAGUAAAGAAAGUUCAGCCACGAACACUCCUUUCACGACCUAUUCAGAACUAAGUACACCUUAGAACAGAAGUGCUCGUUAACUAGAUUCCCUUCUUAUUUCAAAAUCAAUACUGAUGGGUCCUCGAUCCAUGGGGAACUCGGGUCCAGCUGGAUCAGGUGACUUGAAUAGAAAUCACCUAGGACACUAGGUAGCGGCCUUUAGCAAAAAAUUAGGACCCAUUACCAAUAUCCUUGCUCAGUUGUGGGGGACAAGAGAUGGGGUAUCCUUAGCUUCCUCUCUCACUUGCAAAAUAUUGAAUUAGAAGUUAAUGCUAAAACUGCUCUAGAUUUGAUUAAAUCUGUUGAUACCUCAACUCAUGAGUAUGAUUCAAUUAUUUCUAAUUGGCAGGUUCCUGAUCUCUGUUCUGUCGAAAGUUAUACUUAGAUAUACUUAUCGAAAGUUAAUCAGUAUGAAGAUAGAUUAACGAAAUUAGGUGCUCAGCAAGACACGAUUUUUGUAUGUUAUGAAAGUGUCCCUCCUAAUUUAAAAAUCUAGUAGAUGCAGAUAUUAAGGGAAUUUGUCACUUUGUGCCUAUAACUUAAUAGUCCCUUUGUUACAAACAAAAAAAAAAAAAGAAAGAAAGAAAGAAAGAAGGUUCAGCGACUGGCAUUUGUUCAAUAUGAAUCAUAUUACAAAAAAGGGGUUCAUGAAACAUGCAACACCACACUGCAGAAGUGGUAGGCGCCGCAUCUAUCGAUGAUGAUUGAGACCAAACUUGAUGAGAAGAUUCUAAAACAGGUGUCUCAAGAAAGCUGUAAUAGAAAAACAUGUCAACGUAAUCAGGAUUUCCAUCGUAGAAUUUAGCAAACCGCAUAUACCCUAGAUCCUGAAAUCCUUGGUGCAACUGACUCAUCAUUAACAGAGCUAUGUUUGAAAAGAUGUCAGUUUCUGCAAGAGCAUGAACCUCAAAAGAAUUUGAAGAAAUUGUCACUGGUGGAGAUAGGUAUCAAGGAUGAAUUUUGCAGUUAACUUGGUGCAAAAGUACAGGAAUCUCGUGACUCUGAAAACAAGAAUCAGGACGGGUUUGAAACUAUCAAUUUGAAAAGAGAAAACACAUUCAAGAGGCAAUAUUUUAAGUUGUUUAACGAAUAAAAAUGUUGAAAAGUAUAUUAAUAGAAACUUGUAAAAAUGAAAACUUACAUGAACGCAACUGUGGCCUAUACAUUUUUUUGCCUGUGACAACAUUUUUCCUUCUUUAUAUUUUUUUAACUUUAGUGCUGUCAAUUCAAUUUAAAGUAUCUUUCAUUUCAGCAUACCUGUCCAUUGAUAGUCUCAUACUUUAUGAAUUACUUUGUUUUUUUUUGAGCACUUCAUGAAAAACUUUGUCAUGUUAUGACCCAAUAAUUUGUCCAUAACCUGUGAUCGACUUUUUUCUGAGCACUUGAUGAAAAACUUUGUCGUGUAUUGUUCUAACAAUGUGUUUUCUAACAAUUUUGUCCAUAACCUUUGACUCAAUUUACUCGCAACCUAAUGAAUACACAAGCACCCUACUCCCGCACAAUUGGACGGGCUUAAUUCUCUAGUCUUUUUUUUUUUUUUUCUCUUUUGAUAAAAACAUCAUCAUUUUGUUGAAUCUGUAGUAGUGGGAGAAAUUACAUCAAUGAUAUAUAGAUAUAGAUUUGAAGAACAAAUGCUAGAUGUUGUAGAUCUGAAUAAUCAAAAGCGUCUUUAUUGUGGAACUCAAAAAACAUCAAAUGAUAUCUGCGCAUACUUCCACCGAUACCAUUUACUUUCUCCUAAAUAUGCUCAUGAACUGAUUCAAGCCUGGAUGCUUAGAUGAGAUCUGAAGAGAUAGAUUUAAGAAAUCUCAAAUCUGGCAACUAAGUCUUAAAAAAAAUUAGAUCUAACACUAGAAAUAGAAAAACUACAAAAAGUCCACUAAGAAUCCACAAAAUCACCAACAUCAUCUUUACUGCAGCCAUCGUCGACCAUUCGAUCUUCAAUUUUACUUCCCUUCGAUCAACUUUUUUUCAUCAGAUUUCAUCAUAUCAUCAACCUUAUUUCAUCAAAUUUAAAUUUCACAAUCCUAAAAAGGAUAAACCAAAACAUCAAAAAGAGCCCAAUCUUGCAAAAUUUUAACCUUGCACACCACUGAAUUAAGCCCUCUUUUGCAAAAUUUCUUUUUCAUAAAAAUUUGUGAGAAUUAAUGUGUGCAACCUAUGAAUGUUUGGAUUUUUUUAGAUUAUUAGUCUUCUUGAAUUUGUCCCCUCCUUAAUUUAUUUAGUCAUUUGUAUGCAAUUUUGUAAUCAUAUAUUCUUUUUACGUGAGGAAGACUGAUUUUGGAUGAAUUUUCUAUUGACUCAAUAUCAAAUUUGCCAUAGCAUGUUGGAAAAAUGCCUAAACUAAAUUCAUGGUUGUUCAUUGUUUCUUUCUUCUUCUCUUUUUGUUUUUUUUUGGUGUAGCUAGAUAUUGAAAGGGUUGAAGAAAGGGGAAGGAAAAUUUAGUAUUGAAUUUGAGUCUUUGCACUUGCAAUUAAUUUGUAGGUGUUCUUGGUUUCUUACAGUUGAUGACGGAUUAUUACUGACGAGUUCCAUGUGAACUAUCUUCAAUUACAAAUAGAAAUAAACCGGAAAUAUUUCUUAGAAUGGUACCCUAAGAUAAUGAUUAUGAAAUCAAUAAUCAUCGCAAGUGGAUUGUCAUAAUUAAAUAUGUAAAGAUAUAUAAUACUGCAGCCGGUUUGUUUGUGAUGGCUAAUCUUUUCCUAUGUGCUCCAUUUAGUGAAACUUCAUCUAUCUUGAUCACGUGAACCACGUACAAUCAUAUGUACAACCAGUUAAUUUAUUUGGGUCCUUGCAAGUAAAUUUUCAAUUCAGAUUUAUUGUUUGCUUCGGGAUAGAUUUAACUUACCAAAAAAGAAAAAGUAAAUUUCAGCAGCAAAGCCUUCAAGUAAUUUUGAAGUGGGAAAAUCAUUUAAAAGUCCCUCACAUUUCACUAAAUAAAAAUUUUUUUAUCCUUCACUUUAAAAUAAUAACUUUACGUUUCUUAUAAAAUCAAGUCAGUAAAAUUUAGUUCAACUUAAGUUUUUUACUACUUUUUACCCUGAAUUCAUCACAUAAUCCAAAUAUGGUCAUUUUUUUGGGACAAAAAGGUUAAAUCUCAUUUGUAGUCAAACAAAUGAUUUGAUCCAUAACUAUUUUGACACUAAAGAGUAGGAUCUGAUCUAAAUCAUAUUUAUUUUUCUCUUGAAAAGUGGGAUCUAAUUUAAUUCAUAUUCAUUUUUAUCCUAAAAAAGUGAAAUUUGACUUUUUUGUAUAUAAAAUAAUUUCAUGGGAGUCACAUGGUGAUUUCAAGUUAAAAAGUGGUAAAAAAAAACUUAGAUUCGAACCAAAUUUUGUUAACUUGAAUUUAUAAGGAACCUAAAACUAAUAUUUUAAAAGAAAAACGAAAAAAUUCAUUUGACAAAAUAUACGAGACAUUUUGAAAGAUUUUCCCUUCUGAAGUUGUCUUUUGAAUAUUACCUAUCCUUUGAUUUCCUAUUGUACUCCCUUUCAGUGAUUUAUUGGGAGCUCCUCUUUGGAAAUGUUCCUCACAAUGGGAUCUCAACGUUAUUUGAAAACAUGAAAAUUGCAAAGACAAGUUGGUCAUAAGCCGAUGACAUUAGCCUUAUUUGGAUUACAAGUUUUCACAGAAAAAUUUUAAAAUAUUUCUUGACAUAUUUUUUAAUCACAUUUUUAUCUUAUAUAUGUCAUAUUUAUUAUUAUAAUAUUUUUUUUUUAUAAAAUGCUAUAAACUUAUAUACAUCCUAUUAUCUUAUGUAUGUCAUAUUACUAUAGUAUAUUUUCAACGAGACUGUGAACUUACAAUUCAAACUGUAACUUUCAUUUUAGUGCGUCCCUUCUAAGUGAUUUUAGUGCGUUCACUUCAAUUCAUGCACGUGAAGGGGAAGGACUGGUCCAGAAUUCUGUAGAAGGACAAUAAUUUGGGUAAGGACUGGAAAAUUCAAUUGAAACAAGACAAGAAUGUCGCAUUCGAAGUGCGAUAAUUUUGGUGUCAAUCAACGUCACUAUUAAAAGAAGAUAAGAUUGUUGAUAAAUCCAUACAUCAAAUCCGUAUCCAAUAUCUUUACUCGAAAAUUGUGCUCCCGCAAGAAAGUACAAGUAAACUCUUAUAUUCAUCAAAUAUGAUGUGGCCGACAGAAAAGUUCAGGCUAAGAUGCUCUUAUACUUGAGUGAAGGGAGAAGGUUGAUUUAAAUUAUUACUGUCAAAGAAAUUCAUUUAACUAAAUUUAUCUAUAUUCGCUCAUAAAUAAAUGAGUAUGUGUAUAUUAAAUUUUUACAUAUGGAUAUAAAUGAAUAUUAUUAGAUAACCCAUCAAACUUAAUUAAUCCAUUUAAAAUUGUCUUCUCCCAAACUUUCUCUCUUCCUCCACCCUUUUUUUAAAUUUUUUUUUCAUUUUGUCAUGAUGUUAACUACUUUUGUUUCAUUAUUAUUAUUAUUAUUUGUUAGUUUUAUCUUAUCAUUUUAUUUUCUUUUAAUUUAUUAACUUGCUCAUUUUUCAAUAUUACCAAUUUAUGACAAGUUUUAAAUUCUUUUCUUAUUUUUCCAAAAUAAAAUUUUAAAUUUACACACAAAAAAAUGCUAGGGUUCAAAACUUUUGGAUUAAUUUUUUAUGUUAACUUUUAUAAUAUUUAGUUCAAAUUUUUAUAUUCUUAUUGUUUAAUUAUGAAAUAGUAUGUAAUUUUGCGACAUAGAGUACGGAUGGGAAAAAAAUUGAUAAUUAGGCUUAUUGAACAUUAUAAGUAAAUAUUUAAAACUAAUGAUGGGUGCAAAGAAUGGUAUAAAUUGAUAACUUAGUUUGCAAAAAUGAAUUUACAAAAAGUUAAAAAUAAAUGGGUUAUAAAUGGGUAAUUGGGUUACCCAAUUUAUUUUUUGACUUAUCCAUUUAUAUCCAUCUAAUUAAAUGGGUAUAAAUAAGUUGACUCACUUAUAUCCAUUACCCAUUUUACCCAAUCCAAACGCCCAAAUCAUCCAUUUUGACACCUCUAAUUUAAACCUAUUCAUCAUCAAUUUUGAUUUACAUAUUCUAAUAUGUUGCCACAAAAAAAUCAGGGACAGGGAAAAUUAUUUUAAAAUAUAUAAAAAUAUGUGAAAAGAGAAAGAGAAUAAAUAUACAAUAUAACUGAAAUAAUUUUAUAAACUAAACUCAACAAUAAGACUCACAAACAACAAUUUUAGAAGCUUUCUCUCAUUAUCCACAACUUAACUCUCUCUUCAAGAAAACAAUGAAAUGGUACUACUCAAUUUAUAGAGUAUCCAACGGACUCUAGUCACAAAGGAAUAGGACAAUGGACAAAUAUAUAUAUAUAUAUAUAUAUUGCAAUUCUGAACCGACGACAGUAUUCCUCUCCAAAAUGAUAAAUGUAACUUGCUAAGCUUUAAUGACCAGACACAUCAACUUCUAAAUUCUUCAACUCACUAGACCAAGAAAAAGAAGUUGCCACAUAACUAAUUUAUUCUAAUAAUUAGUCUUGGUUUAAUUAUCUACACAACCAUUGGUCAUCUUUCUUGGGCAAUUACAUAAUCAAUCCAACCUUGCUACUUGUCAGCCUUGAAGGACAGCGCUUGGAAAUUAAUUAACAGCUUAUCAUAUGCGCUACAAAAUGCAGAAGUUUAAUCUAUAGAUUUAUCUGUAGACCUUGUAAUCAAUUGGUGAGUCACAUUGAUUAAGUGAUGUAUGUUUACUUUUUCGUCCCAUUUAUUUAGUCAUGUUUGACAAAUCUAGCUUUUAAAAAUAGUGAUUUGAUUGUGAUGUUUGUACUUUUUUUUCAAUUUUACUCUCACAAAUUUAAAUUUUAAAUUUGAAUGGUAACAUGAAUAUAAUUAAAAAGAAAGGCUAUAUUUAAAAGGGAGAUUAAAAGGUACUUUGAUUUUUUUUACAUGAUAUUUUUGGAAUAUUCUAAAAUGAAAAAUACAGCAAUUUUAAUGAGACGGAAGAAGUAUAUUAUUAGUAUUAGAUUAUAAAAAAAAUUGAUGUGACUAUAGAGUCCAAAAAUAUCUUUCAAACCCAUUCAGGCUAGGUAAGGAUACGCCAAGAACGAAAUACGGGAAGAUAACAGGUGCAUGGUUGGGACUUGGGAGGAUGAGUAGAAAGGAUGUACUCCUGUUUUUAUUUGUCCAUUCUGUAUCGACGUGGAGACUUGGAGCCGCGAGUUUAGAAAUUAGUGACUUUCAUAGCUAAGGACAGGUUAGGUCAGUACAAUAAUUGCCCCAUCCAUUAUUGCGCAUUAAAAGGGACCCAUUUCUCAUUAUCGGACUCGGAUGUUUGCCUUUAAGUUGCUGGGCACUUAUCUUAAAGGAAUAUUCUUUUUACCUUUUACUGCGUUACAUGCCAAACGAUAGCUAUUAUUAUUAGAACUGCAUAGUUUGUGGGGAUAAUUGCAGAAACCUCCCCUGAGGUUUCUGACAUUUUCACUGACCUCCCCUAUGGUUUGAAAAAUUACACUGACCUCCCCUGAGGUUACUAAUCCUUUGCAAAUUUAGUCCAAACGAUUAAAAUAUUAUUAUUUUAGGGAGUGAAAUUAGAAUUUUGUACUAGAUUUGCCCUUUGUACUACAUGUCCAAUGAAUGACAAAGUAUUAUAAAUCAAUUAACAAUUAAUAAACUUUAAGGAGUAUAACUUAUGGGCAAACACGCAUUACUCAUUUAAAGUACCGGCUCUUUACGGGUAUUUUACUUUCAAACAUUUAAUUUAUGAUAAAUAUAUCAAUAUUUAUACGUAAAAUUCAAAAAGUGUUACAGUAAUAUUCUUGCAAAAAGGAAAUUGGUAGGUUAUUGAUUUAAUAUAAAUUAAAUAUUUUUUUUUAAAAAAGAAAUGGCCCAUAAAGUAUUAAUUCUUUAUGACUUUCAUACAUUACAUAAGUAAAGUAUUCGCUCUUUAUGUGCAUUUUAUUCUGAAUCAUUUAAUUUAUGUUAAAUACAUAAAUGUUUGUAACUAAAAUUGAAAAAGUGUUAUAUUAAUAUUUUUACAGAAAAGAGAUUGGUAGGUUUUGUAUUUAACAAAAAUUAAAUAUUUGAAAGUAAAUACAAAUCUGUAUUUGAGCGUAAAUAUUUGUAUUAAAUUAAAUGUUUGAAAGUAAAAUACCCGUAAAGAGCCGGUACUUUAAAUAGUUACCGGCUCUUUAUGGGCAAACACGCAUUAUUUAUUUAAAGUGCCGGCUCUUUACGGAUAUUUUACUUUCAAAUAUUUAAUUUAUAAUAAAUAUAUCAAUGUUUGUAAGUAAAAUUUAAAAAGUGUUACAGUAAUAUUCUUGCAAAAAGGAAAUCAGUAGGUUAUUUAUUUAGUAUAAAUUAAAUAUUUUUUUCAAAAAAAGAAAUGAUUCAUAAAGUAUUAAUUCUUUAUGGCUUUCAUCCAUUACAUGAGUAAAAUAUUGGCUCUUUAUGGGUAUUUUAUUCUGAAUCAUUUAAUUUAUGUUAAAUACAUAAAUAUUUGUAACUAAAAUUGAAAAAGUGUUAUAUUAAUAUUUUUACGGAAGAGAGAUUGGUAGUUUUUGUAUUUAACAAAAAUUAAAUAUUUGAAAGUAAAUACAAAUCUGUAUUUGAGCGUAAAUAUUUGUAUUAAAUUAAAUAUUUUAAAGUAAAAUACCCGUAAAGAGCCGGUACUUUAAAUAGAUAAUGCUUAUUUGCCUAUAAACUAUACUCCUUAAAGUUUAUUAAUUGUUAAUUGAUUUGUAGUAUUUUGUCAUUCAUUGGACAUGUAGUACAAAGGACAAAUUUGGUACAAAAUUUUAAUUUCACUCCUUAAAACAAUAUUUUAAUCGUUUGGACUGAAUUUGCAAAUGAUUAGUAACCUCAGGGGAGGUCAGUGUAAUUUUUCAAACUACAGGGGAGGUCAGUGCAAAUGUCAGAAACCUCAAGGGAGGUUUCUGCAAUUAUCCCUAGUUUGUGUGAAGAGUGAGAGUCAGAGUAUUAUUCGCGCCUUGAGGUGUUGUGUUUCACGUUUCUAUGUUACACGAAUUUUAUGACUCAUCAGAGAGACAUUCUAUCCUGUUCGGAAAAAAAACAAAAAAAAAGAGAGACAUUCUAAAAUUUGGAUUUUUAUUCAUUAUUGCAUCGGAGUCAGAACCUUGUGAUAAGGGGUGCAAUGGUCAACUUCAGUAUAAAUCAUACUCUUAGAUUUAUAUAAUAAAUAUACGAGUAAAUCUUAUAUACACUGACAGUGUAUACACUAUCACCAUUGGAUUUAUGAUAUAUGUGUAAAAGUUGAAUUUUAAAUUCAAAACUUAUAUAUUUGUCAUUUAUUCAUCGUUGAUAAUGUAUACACUGUCAGUAUAGAAAAGAUUAAUCCUAAAUAUACAGUAUGCUUUUGAUUUAAAAAGUGAAAUCUUUUUUUCCCAUUAAUGUUUAAUUUGAAAUAAAUCCUAAAUUUUUUUUAGAGGUAAUCAAUAGAAAGUAUUUUUUGGAGUCAAUGUAGAAUAAGUGAGGAAUAUAUAAAGCUUCAAAAGAUAACCUAUAUAAAGAAGGGAAUUUUCUUAAAUUUGACGGGAGCAAUACAACUGAAAGAGAGAAUUUUAUAAAAUUCAAGGGUGCAACACAUGGUAUAAACUUAAUAAUCUUGAAAAAUUUGAAGGCCAUUGUACAAUUUUAUCAAAAUUGAGGGGGCCGGGGAGGGAGGGAGGGCAAUUGUCCACUCCACAAUCCUAUGUGGCUCUGCCACUGGAAUACUUAUCAAUCGAAUAGAUAGUAUGAUAGACCGCCAGCCUUUGGCCAGUGGCCACCACCUAGCUUGGUGGGGUGGGAGGCAAGGCAAAAUGCCACAUUUAAGUGGUUUGCUUCAAAAAAUUCAGACGGGUGUGUUGUGCACCCGUUUGAUUCGGUGGUGGUUCAGUCCCCUUCGGGUUAUUCUUGGGCCUCCUUAGGUCCGCCCCCUCCCCCUUAGUGUAGAAUAGAUUAGGUUAUACAACAGUUGUCGUUUCCGAAAAAAAAAAAAAAAAUAGAUAGUAUGAUAAGAUUUUAACAGCAAAAAUUGUUAAAAAAAAGGGAUUCUUUGCCGUACUAUUCGACCCAUAAUCCGAGGGGGUAAGGUGGGAUCAACUCCAUGGCACAGAGAGGCAAAGUGCCAUUCAUCGCCUAAUAGAUAAAUCCUUCUCUCAGUUAAAAGCCACAUUGGUUUGCAUCUAUCAAUUUGAAAAAAAAAAAACUAAUUUAAGAGGCAAUAUUUUAAGUUAUUUAAGGAAUAAAAAUGUUGAAAAAGCAUAUUAAUAGAAAACUUGUCAAAAUGGAAACUUACAUGAACUCAACUUUGGUCUACAAUAUUUUUUUUUGUUUUUACAAUUCUUUUCUUAAUAUUCUUUUUAACUUUAGUGCUGUCAAUUUACUUCAUGGCCCAAAGGCAAAAAAAAAAACAAAGACUAGUGAUUGACACACGAACAAUCUUUAAUGCAAAUUUCAAACUCAUUAAGAAAUGAGAGUGUGAAAUUAUCAGAUUGGAUUUCAGUGAAAUGGGGAUUUUAAACAUUCAACGCGAAGCAUCUAAGCUGGAUCGCGGGCUGGAUGACAUUGAAAUUGUGGUGAAGAUAAGUUUUCAAAGUCUCUUUCAUUUCAGCAUACUUUAUGAAUAAACUUUUUUCUUGAGCACUUUAUGAAAAGAAUAUUUUACUCAGUUUACUCACUAACUAAUGAUUACACAAGCACUCAACUUCCGCACAUUUGCACGGGCUUAAUCUUGUAUUAUUAUUAUUUUUUUUAUAAUAAUAAUAAUAAUAUUAUUAUUUACUUCUUCCCGAAUGUGCUAAUGAGCUGGUUUAAACCUAAAUGGUAAGGUGAAAUCUGAGGUGAUAGAUUUAAAAAUUUUCAAAUUUGGCAAUCAAAUUUGAAAAACGAAAAAAAAGAUCUAACACAAGAAAUAGAAAACUACAAAAAGUCUCACUAGAAAUCCCGCAAAAUCACCAUCGUCAUCUUUACAGCAGCCAUCGUCAACCAUUCGAUCUUCAAAUUUACUGUCUUUGGAACAAAUUUUUUUCAUUAGAUUUCAUCAUAGAGCCCAAUCUUGCAGUUCACUGUGCCAGCACUGAAGUAAGCCCUCUUUUCCAAAUUUUUUUUUUGUAACUUGAAAUUUGUGUGAAUUAAUAUGCGCAUCCUAUGGAUGUUUGGAUCUUUCAUUUUAUUAGUCUCCUUGAAUUUGUUGUCCCUUUGGUCAUUCGUAUGCAAUUUUUUAAUCACAUAUUCUGUUUACCUGAGGAAGUCUGAAUUGUGAUGAAUUUUGUAUUGAUUCAACAUCAAAUUUGAUUAAAGGAAAAAGGAAACUGGCCUACGAUCAUAGCAUGUAAGCAUGAUGGAAAAAUGCCUAAACAAAAUACAUUGUUGUUCACUGUUUUGUUUUCUUUGGUGUAAUUGGAUAUUGAAAGGGUUGAAGAAAGGGGAAGGAAAAUUUAGGAUUGAAUUGGGGUGUUUGCACUUGCAAUUGAUCUGUAGGUGCUUUUGUUUUCUUACAGUUGAUCAUGACGGAUUAAUUUUUUUUUUGGUAUUAACCACAGGUGUCCGCAUCCGUUUUACGGUCUACGACUAAUUCUGUUCUAGUCACGUUGGACCCUUUGUAGGGGGAAUCUCUCCCAACGUUGUUUUUUCCAUCCUCAUAGAUUUCGAACCCGAGACCUCAUGGUUAAGGGAUGCAAGCCCCUUCCACUUACACCAACAUUCGUUGGUGACGGAUUAUUACUGACGAGUUCCAUGGGAAUUAUCUUCAGUUACAAAUAGAAAUAAACGGGAAGUGCUUCAUAGGAUGGUAUCUUGAGACAGUGAUUGGGAAAUCAGUAACCAUCGCAAGUGGAUUGUCAAAAUUAAAGAUGUAAAAGACAUAUACGACUGCAGCUGGAUUGUGAUGGCUAAUCUUAUCCUAUGUAGUGAAACUUCUUGAUCUCGCGAAACAUGUACAAUCAUAUGUACAACCAGUUAAUUUAUUUGGGUCCUUGCAAGUAAAUUUUCACUUCAGAUUUAUUGUAGUGAUUGUAACAUAUAUUUUGUGGCUUUGGAACAGAUUUAACUUACCCAAAAAAAAAAAAAAAUUAAAUCUCCACUGCAAAGCCUUAGAGUAAUUUUGAAGUUCAGUCUAUUGAACACUGCCUAUCCUUUGCUUUCCUAUUGUACUCCUUUUGAGUGAUUUAUUUAGAGCUUCUAUUUGGAAAUGUUCAAACCUGACAAUAAGCUCUCAGUGUUAUUUCCAUGAAAACUGCAAAGAGAAGUUGAUCAUGCAAAAAACUACUGUAGCUGACAAGAUUGGCGUUAUUUGGAUUGUCGGUUUUCACUUAAAAAUUUUGAAAUAUUUUUUCAAUAUAUUUUUCAAUCACUUUUUUAUCUCACAUAUAUCAUAUUAUUAUAAUAUAUAUAUUUUUUAACGAAACUCUAUAAACUUACAAUUCAAACUGUAACUUUUCAUUGUAGUGCGUCCUUCAAAGUGACUUUCGUUUUAGUCCGUCCAUUUUAAGUGAUUUUAGUGCGUCCACCUCAAUUCAUGCACAGGAAGGACUGGUCCCAGAAUUCUGUAGCAGGACAAUGAUUUAGGGUGGCCUGGAAAAUUCUAUGGAAACAAGGCAAGAAUGUCACCUUUGGGGUGUCCAAUAAUAAUGUUAGUGUCAAUCAACCUCACUAUUAAAAGAAGAAAAGAUUGUUGAUAAAUCCAUACAUCAAAUCCGUAUUCAAUAUCUUUACUCGAAAGUUGUGCUCCCAAGAAAGUACGAGUAAACUCUUAUUCAUCAAUUUGCAUAAACAAUAGGGUUAAUCACAUUUUAUCCCCUUAAAGAAUGCCCAAAUUUUCAAUUUACCCCCUAACCUUUAAUUUUGCUCACUUAACUCCCUUUAGGACAAAAUUGCCCUUGUAUUAUUUUGACUUUUCAUUUACCUUAUUUUCCUUUCUUUUAUUUCUUUCUCUCUUUCUUCUUUAUUUAAUUCUUCUUCUUUCCCACAAAAAUCUUCACCUUAAUGAUUGAAAUUAAAAAAGAGGAAUUGCAGAUAUCUAUCUUCUCCUUAAAUGAUUAAAAAAAUAUUCAAAUCACUUUCCUAAAAUAUAAUUUUUUUAGCCUUUCAAUUCUUUUACUUUUGGGUUUUCCUCUUUCCUUUCUAGUUUCUCAUUUUAUUCCCAAGAAAAUAUCUUAAGAUGAAAUUGUGAUCUGAUUAAUAAACAUGAAUGAAGGGAGAAGGUUGAUUGAGGCCCUAUUCAUCCUCAAAUUUGAUUACAUAUUCCAAUCUAUUGCCACAAAAAAAAAAAAAUCAUGCUCAGCAAAAAUUAUUUUAAAAUAUAGGAAUAUAUGUGAAAUAUAACUUAAUCGUUUUAUUAACUAAACUCAACAAUAAUGCUUACAAAUAACAAGUUUAGAAGUUUUCUCUCAAUGUCCACAACUUACCUCUCUCUUCAAGAAAACAAUGAAACGGUAUAGAGUAUCCAACCGACUCUAGUCUCAAAGGAAUAGGAAACUAACAAUUGGCAGAAAAAUUUUUAAUUCUGAACCGACUAGGAGUAUCUCUCUCCCAACAUGAUAAAUGUAAAUAACUUGCUGAACUUUAAUAACCGGGACCUUAGGAAAUAUUUCUUUUCCACAUCAACUUCUAAAUUCUUCCACUCACUAAACCAACAAAUAAAAAAACUUGCCACAUAAGUAAUUUAAUUUAAUAAUUAGGCUUGGUUUAAUUAUCUACACAACCAUUUGUCGGAUUUCUUGGGCAAUUACGUAAUCAAUCCAACCUUGCUAACUGUCAGCGUAGAAGGACCUUAGAAAUUAAAUAACAGCUUAUCAUGCACUGCAUAAAAUAGGUUUAUCUGUAGAGCUCGAGCUCGUAAUCAAUUUGUGAGUCACACUGAUCAAUUUGUGGGUCUUAAAGGUUAGAAGUUAAGAGGUUAUUCUGGCGAGAUUUGGAUUUGGGAAUUUUUUUAAUUUGUUUUCUUGCCUCCCAAAGAUCUUAUUCUCCUUCAUUUCUUUGUUUGUUAUUACUUUUUUUUUUAAUGAGUUUUAAGAAGUUAUGGUGAUAGUGGGGGAUGAUGAUAGUGGUGAUGGGAUGAUCAAGAGGUUGGUGUUGAUAGUGUGAGAUUUGGGUAUGGAUUAUGACUUGAUUUCUAUUUCUGUUUGAUGAAUUUUUAGAUAUUAAUUUAUGCUUUUUGAAAGGGAUUUUUGUUUGAGGAAUAUUUGUAGGGUUUAGAAAUUUGACUAUAUUCAGAAGAUGAAAAUAAAGGAAGGGUAUUUUUGGAGGUUUGGUAAAAUUUUGAGGGUUAACAAGUAUAAUCACUCUCUCUUUUUUUAUCAGAUUUAAUUUAAUUUGUAAAUUGUGCAAAAAAUUAGAAGUUGAAGGUAAUGGACUGCUAAAUUUAAAGUUUGGAAUGCAAGUUCCAAUUGCGAAAUUGUUGAGGGGUGCAACUUACAAUUAACCCUAUUUCUAUUUUAUUUUAUAUUAUACAACUUGUUAAAGGGACAACUGUAGUAUUAAGAGAAAUAUUUUAAAGGGAUAAUUUCAUAAACCUCCCCUGAGGUUUUUGAUAAUUUUAUGUGGCUCCCUUAAGGUUUCAAAAUUUACAUCUACCCCCUUACCCAUUUAAAAUGACAAUACUAACCUUAAUAUUUUAAUAAAACUCUCUUGCUUCCAUGUUUAUAAAAAGGAUGGAUUUUAUAAUUUUUAUAAUUUAUGAAAAGAGGUAAAACGGGAUGAACCCCAUGGUUCAGGGGAACAAAGUGCCAUUCAUCCGCUAAUAGAUAAAUCCUUCUCUUUCUUCCUUAAAAGCCAUGUUGAUUCAGUGACAGGGCGUCAACUAAUUAAAAAUAAAUAACUACUCCAGAAAAUACGAACUUGUUUGCAGCAAUGAGUAGGAUUGUCUCCACAAGAUAGAGUUGAUUUAUUUUCUUCCAAAGCAAUGAAUAAAAAGGGGGAUUUUGGAGAAUUAAACUAACUAAUUAACUUAAACACAAAUAAACAUGCAAAGAAAAUUAACUAAGAAUAAACCAAUAAUAAUAGAGUUCUAGCCAAAGGAAUAAUCUUAGGAUUGGUUCCUAUAAUUGAUCACUAAAGCAAAGAUGAAUUCAAAUAUUAGUGAACAAAUAGGUUAUAAUUAUCAUUAAACUUUGGCAAUCAAUCUUUCCUUACUUUAUCGAUAAUCAGAGUAUGGCCACUAACUACUUCUCUAACUAAAAGAUAAUCCUAGGUACAACCAUAGAAUUAAAUCUUUUAUCAGCAUCAAGAAUUAAAAAAGCCUAAUUCGAAUCAACAAACAUGUUGCGAGAGUUCAUUUAAAUUAUAUCAUAUAUUUUCCUGAUAUAGAUCCAAUUAUGCUAGUCAACACAAAUAUUAAAACAGACAAACAAUUACGAAUUUAAUUGUUUCAAUUGGCAGCAGACUAUUGUAAAUAAUUAAAUAUUGGCCACUUAUUUAAUUACACACAAUAAUCAUCAUACAUGUAAUACAGGAAGUAUAAAAAUACCCACGAAUAGAUGAAACAGUAAACUUAAAUUAGAUAUCAUAAUUGUUUGUAGAACCAAGGCUUCGAUUAUCCUCUAACUAGAAAGAAAAUUUAGCCACUUCUUAUGGAGAAAAUGCAGCGGAGAAAACUAGGUUUUUGUCUUGAGAGAAGAAAAAAGAAAACCACCUAACUACGAUGACAAAGUGUAGAGAGAGUUUGGGAAUUAAAUAUCGAUAUUCUCGCCCUAACAAUCUAUAUGAUAAUCUCCUAAAAAUUAUUCCAAUAAAAGGAAUUAUCUUCCAUACUGGAAUAAUCUAUUUUCGUAGAUAAUGAUAUAAUAAUAUCCUUACUAACUAGUUGCCAUCCAAAAAUAAAAAGUUUUCAAGGCUGCAGAGAAAUCAAUCAAUUAUUCUCUUUAAUUGUUGAAAUUAAUCUCAGGUCCCACAACUUCUGAAUUUCCUAGGCUCUUUAAGACGCGCCCAUACUUUAUAGCAAAUAGACUUUUCAGCAACUCUUUUUAGUCCUCUUUCAUCCCAAAUUCUUAUGACAUCACUAAAACACAAAAUAUAAGUAAAAUCCACAAAAUAACACAAUAAUCUACUAAAAUGAAAGGAGAAUCGACACAAACUAUAUCUCGAUUAGGCACACAAUCAUUUAGUGACACAUGAUGAUGUAAGUAAUAUUACAUUAUUAUGAUGAUAUAUGUGGCUCUUGAGUAUGCACCACAUCGUCCAUGAGUGGUUCCGAAAAUCAAGUUUUUAAGAAGGUUUUAAAGCUGGAAAUCUUACUGGGUCAUAGGUUAUUGGUUCAAUCGUUAGAUUAAAUGUUACCAAGUCAUUGUUACUCUGUGACACCAUAUAUAUCAUAAAUAAUUAAUGUGAAAAAUCAUUCAAUACGUCCCUUAUAUUUUAUUAAAUGGUUUUUUUGUUUCUUCACUUUUAAAAUGUUAGUUUUACAUCUAUUACAAAUUCAAGUUAGUAAAAUUUGGUCCCAAUCUAAAUUUUUGACUACUUUUUAGCCUAAGAUCGCCAUGUGACCUAUAUGCAAUUAUUUUUUAUGUAAAAAAAAAUGUCAAAUACCACUUUUGUAGUGAUAAAAAUAAAUAUGGAUCGGGUCAAAUUCCAUUUUUGUUUUAAAAAAUGAAUAUGGAUCGAAUAAUUUAUUUAACUACAAAUGGGAUGUAACAUUGUUUAAUUCUAACAAUUGUUAAGUGGAUAGGAACACGAAUAGUAAUAAAUUUUGGAUUUUGUAAACAAUUUAGAGCUAAAUUAUAAUUUUUUAAAGGUGAAAUGAUAGAAACUUAAAUAUGAGGUAACAUUGAAAUCUAAAAGUAAGUAUGAGGGCUAAAUAGUAAAAUGUCAAAAAGUAUAGUGCGUUAAUCGUUUCCGAUAAUUAUAUGCUAAUGCUGGGCCGCAUUUUUUUUUUUAUUUUAAAGAAAAGCAAGACUCAAAACGGUUUAGUAAAAACAUGUCAACGGUUCGUUGGUCCGGCCAAACGAUCUAGUUGGUUUUUACUAUCUAGACCGAUUUUUUGAUCCAUCUUUAGUUUGAGACUUGACUUAGUUCAGAAAGCUACUCGAUCAACAGUUGAAUCAGCUCACUCGAACAGUCAAAACUGAGUUUUAUACUAUUAGUUUUUAUUUAAAUAUUUUCAAUACCCAUUUAUAAGAUUAUGGCACUUGUAAGUUCUCCAUGAACCGAAAAUAAAAAGAUAUUUGUGUUAUAGUUGAAAUGAUGAGUGAAGAAAUUUACUGAUGCUGUCAAUAAUGUAUCGACGGGAUACUUGAGCAACGAAUAAUACUUUUCUUUGGGUAAACAAUCAACUAUUAUUGAUAAAGCACAUAUUACACAUAUCUGUAAAAGGAUGGGUAGUAUUUGGCACGUCUUCAAUUCGCCACACAGGUAGCUGAACUCAUCUAUAAAAGGGGUCGAUCUGUGGGCAACCAAAUACACACCAAACCAAAAAAUACACACGAAAGCAAGCCUGCAAAAACAACCGAGAGGAGAAAAAAUGGCUCCCUGUUUUAGAGCACUAGUCAUAGCAAUAACAUCGCUGUUGAUGAUAUCUUCAGUGAUCAGGUCUUCCGAUGCUGCUGGAAUUGCCACCUACUGGGGCCAAAACACUGACGAAGGAAGCCUGGAAGACGCAUGCCGGAGAGGUACCUAUGACUACGUGAAUCUUGCCUUUCUGAUAAAUUAUGGCAAUGGCCAGACACCAGAAUUGAACUUAGCUGGGCAUUGUGAGCGAAGCGCUUGCUCCUCGCUUAGUUCUGAGAUAAAAGCUUGCCAGAAACGAGGCAUCCAAGUGCUUCUUUCUCUCGGUGGAGCUCCAAACCUUUCUUCACGCGAUGAUGCUAAGGAAGUCGCGUCCUAUCUCUAUAAUAAUUUCCUUGGCGGUGAAUCACAAAAUCGUCCAUUAGGCGAUGCUGUCUUAGACGGUAUAGACUUUCAUAUCCAAGGUGGAAGUAGGGAUUUCUUGGAUGAUCUCGCCAAGGCGCUCUCAGAAUAUAGAACAACAGAGAGAAGGGUGCACUUAUCUGCAGCACCACAAUGUUUCUAUCCUGACUAUUAUCUUGACGCUGCCAUCAGAACUGGCCUCUUUGAUUAUGUGUGGGUGCAAUUUUACAACAAUCCGCCUUGUCAGUAUAGUAUGGGCAAUGCCAACAACCUCAUCAACAGUUGGAGCUCUCAUUGGGCUUCACAUCCAGGAGUUAACAAACUAUUCCUGGGAUUACCUGCAUCCCCUGAAGCCGCUCCUUCUGGCGGUUACAUUCCACAUCGGAUUCUUAUUCGUGAAGUUCUUCCCCAAAUCCAGGACUAUCCCAACUAUGGAGGCGUCAUGCUUUGGAACGUAUACUAUGACGAGAAUUAUAGUCAGGCAAUCAGGCCUUAUGUUAACCCUGAAACUCUGACUUUUGAUCGCAGGUCCACGAUUAAGUACCCAAGAAAGUCCAUGAUAAAGUCUUUUGUGGAUGAGUAAGUUCCUCUCAUUAUCUUAUGAGAGAUGAAAUAAGUAUAAUAUAAUCCCGGUGGUUUGAGCCAGAGAUAAUGUUAAUAAAUAAGUUCCUCUCAUUAUCCUGUGAGAGAUGAAAUGUAAUCCGGGUUGCUUUUGCAAGAGAUAAAUUGAAUAAAUAAAUAAAACAUGGGUUUUCAAUCCCCAAACUAAGGGCAGUCGCGUUUGAUUUUUUUUAAUUCGUGUUUGUUCUUGAGUAAAAACUAUCACGAACAGUAUCAUUAGUUUUAAUUUCCCCUUACUCUUCAGAAAAAAAAGGGUAUUGAAAAAAAAAAAACAUGCAAAAGGUACUAGAUCAAAAUCUCUCACUCGCUAGACAAAGAAUUUCAAGAUAACAGCCCUUGAUCCAAUCCGCAUUCCAAUGCAAGUUCCUGGUUUUACUUAGUAUGAGGAACCUUGGGCCAUGCGAGAUCAAAUAAAAAAAUAAUAUCAUCAGAUAUUUAUUCUCCAAAAUCAAUAUAUUUAUUCAAGAGCAUUUUACAUUUCAGUACACCUUUACUGUUGAGAAUAUUACUGUUCUGUUAGCUUCUAUGCAAAGUUUGUUUCAUAUGCAAUAACGUACUUAGUAACUAAACUUCCAUCACUUGCAGAUAUUAAUCCAGGAAAAAGAUGAAUAAUUGUUUUCUUUUAUAUGGAUUAAUCUUCUAUACAUUGACAGUGUAUACACUUUCAUCAUUAGAUGCAUGACACAUAAUCCGAAUUUGAAUUUGAAACUCAAAUAUUGUAUAUAUGUCGUAUAUUCAACUGUGAUGGCGUAUAUACCGUCAAUGUAUAUAAGAUUUAUUUUUUAUAUAUAUAUACACAUAUAAGGAAAGCAAUGACGUUCAAAACUUAAGAUCGAUGUACAAUUCAGUUUUGCUUAAAUUCUUAGCUCGAGGCCUGUUCAAAUCUUGUAAAAAGGUACUGGUAAUAAAUGAAAAUCUAAAGUUUGCUCUAAGGUAGGUAAUAUUAUAGCAAUUGGUCCUCUUCUUAAUUUAGUUCUUCCAGUAAAUUUGAUAUAUCGUUUACGAUCAUCCAGCAUUAUGGAUAUUGCUUUCUCUUUGUGAAAAUUUUUAGUUUUGAGCAAAGUCUUUGGUUUUUAGUCAAGUUCUUGCGUUGGACAGCUCUACAUCUUGGAACUGGUGAUUCGUACAAAUAUACAGUAUCUUGGAAAUAUUAGACUUUUUUUUUUAAAAAAAAAAACCUUAUUUUAUUAAUGAAGCAAAAAGGAAUACAUGAAUGCGUGUUCAGGCUGCACCACUCGACCUACAGCUAGGCCUAGAGCUGUUAAACGAACCGAGUUGUUCGGUAGCUCGGUUCGUUUCGACUCGUUCGAAACCUUAAAUGAACCGAGUUCGAACGAAUGUUUUUGUUCGAUUAAUAAUCGAGCGAACACGAGCAUGUUCGCGAGUUUUAACGAACGUUCGCGAACAUGCUAAACGAACGUUCGCGAACACGAGCAUGUUCGCGAGUUUUAACGAACGUUCGCGAACAUGGACAUAAUUAUCAUUUGAUAAAUUUUAGGGUUAAUUUUAUGGCUGGACUUUUAUGUUUGGAGGGCAAAUUACUUUGUUUUAUUUGUUAUUUUUAUGUUAAUGUUAGUUAUAUAGUUAAUGAAUAAUAGAAUUUAGUCACUUAGUGCUUUAAUUGUUUUUGAGAAUAGUUAAUAAUUUGCAUGACAUAUUUAAGGCUUAAAAUAAUUUGGAUUCGAGCAUUUCGAGUAUGUUCGCGAACGGCUCAUUUAUGUUAAAUGAGUCGAACACGAACUCGAAUUCGAACACGAAUUUUGCUUAACGAGCCGAACACGAACACAUGUUUGAAGUUCGAAAAUUAACGAACGAACACGAACGUUGUUCGAACUGCUUAACGAACAGAGCUCAAACAUGAGAUACUCGGUUCGAUUCGGUUCGUUUACAGCUCUAGCUAGGCCCCAAGGACCUCUUAGAAAAUCGAAAACUCCCAAUCCCCAGUCUAUCGACCUGACAUAGGCCCCUCACCGACCUUGGCAAGGACGUGAAGGAGAGCAAGAGACAAAAGUUGCUGGAGCGGCUACCCAGCGAUGCCAACGAAUCCGCCACAGCAUUACCUUCUCGAUGGAUAUGUUGAAAGGACGAUAUAGCUGGCGAGAGUUGCCGAAGAUGACGGAGGAUUGGCAAUAGCGAAACCGGAACGCCCCAUACCCCUGUAGAACGUCGAUCAGGAUCUUUGAGUCGCCCUCCACCACGACUGGGCCAUGGCGGAAUAGGUUACACAAUUCAAGCCCCGUGCACAGUGUGAGGCCCCGAAAAAAAUGAGUUUGAGAACCCGGAAAUUUUAAUUUUCUAGGGUUUAUUUUGUUUAAAACAAAACCCGCAUUUUCUACAUUUUCUUGAUUAGAAAAAAUCCCAGAUAAAGUUUAUGAGCAAAAAUAGUUUUAAAAUGAUUUUUCUAGUAUCGGUUAGUUUUUGAGAAAUUAAAAGCGUAUUUUGGACGUGGGACCCACUAGUGCGAAAAGUUCGGAAAAUUCGGCCAAUUAGGUUAAAUUCCGGAUACUGUGUAAAAUUUAUCGGGUGUUAAGAGAUAAGUAGAGUGUGUGAAAUGAUUGAUGAGAGAGAGAAAAGAAAGGAUAGGAAUGCAUUUAUUGUAGUGCCACAUGUCACCAUGAUAUUGGUUAGGACUUAAGACUACUAUUCAUGGUUUUGACCUUUUGACUUAUGGAUUAAAUAUCUUCAAAAUUCACAAAAAAAUUACCAUUUUUCACCCCUUGAUGGCCGGCCCUCUCUAGCAAGAAGAAAGACAAAACUCUUCAACAUCUUGGCAAAUUCCUAGCUCAAAUCAUCCAAACUACUUACCUAAAUUAGUUUUUACUCCAUAAAAUCCUUCCACUUGGUAUUAGUGAGUGUUUUGGUGAAGCUUUUGGAGAACUUAAGGUGUCCAACAUCUUCCUCUCUCUUGUUUACUUGGUAAGUAGUGAUUGACUAUCCUCUUACACCUAAUGAUGUUGAAUUUAUGCCUAAUGGUGGCUAUUGUGUUAGAAAUUGUGGUUUAUUUCUUGGUUUGAAGUGAUUUGGUUAAGUUUUUAUUUUUUUGAGGAAUUUUCUGGUUUUAUGUGAUCUUGAUGGUGUGGUUGUUUUUGAUGGUUGGUAAUAAGGGGCUAUGGAUCUAGUAGGUGCAUAUGAUAGGAAAUUGCAACUAAUUUUGGGUUUGGAUUGAAUUGUGGAAAGUUAGGGUUUUAUCACCCCUAAUUCUGUCCGGUUUUAGAUCAUAGGGUUAGAGGCCGAAUUGGACUUUGCUCAAAACAUGAAACUUGUAGGUAUUGAUGAGUUUGAAGUGCCUGCAAAAUUUCAGGGCAUUUGGAGUAGUGUAGAGUGAGUUAUGCCGUUUUUACUGUUGCUGUUCUGGGUGAUCAGAAUGUGCGAACUGUGAUUGUAAUCGUCUGUUUUGACUGGAAUUGCUUUGGAUUUGGAUGUUGGUGUCUUCUGAUGAAAUGUAGCUUGAUGCCUUAGCUAUCAUAUGCCUUUGGAAUCAAUGCAUUUGGACCUGUGUAACUGAGUUGGACGAAUUACAGCAUUGUGUGAUUUGGGAACCUGCAAUUACGAUUCUGGUUUGGUAUUCUGCAUUUUUGACCUAGUUGUGCUAGGAUUUGGACUGAGUGACCUUCUACAUUGUUGUAGCCCUGGUUCUUAGCUUCGAAACGGUGGGUCUUGGACCUCCAUCCGAUACUCGUAAUACCUUUGGUGCCAUUACCGCAAAAGGACGUCAAAACUGUUUUCUGGUUUUGAGCAAUUGUGGUUAAUUGCUUUGUGAUUGGGUUUGAUUGUAGGAUGGAAAGGAUGAAUUUAUGGGGAAAUGCUGUCCGAUUUUUAAUAGCGUUGGUUACCUUAAGUUUCAUGUGAAAGGCUUGGACUUGAAUGAUGGAAUUGGCUAUAUUGGACGAGGAUUGUGAGCCGUGGAGGUGAGUGACCUUAAACUACUUGCAACGUUACUUUAAAAUGUUUCUUGCAUCGUUUCUUUGAUUGCAUAUCCUGUGUGCCGGCAUAUAAGUUCUUGACAUGUUUUGGCUCAAAUGAGUACUUGGAAUUCGUGUGCUAGACUCCGACGUCUCCUCCACCGUUUAAUGUUCCUGUAGGGCACCAAUGGGCUCAAUGUUCAAUGUUAAUGUUCAAUGUUAAAUGAUUGUUUGGAGCGUUGGACGUCUAAGUACCAUGAUUUCACUGGCUCAUGAGAGAAGUGAAAGUGCAUUGAUUGUUGAAGCAUGACAUUAUUGAAAUGAACGAUUGUGAAACUGAUUUGAUAACUGAAUUUCUUGGUUACUCGCUGAGCUUCUAGCUCACCCCAAAAUGUUUUAUUCCCCUCCACAGGGCUCAAGGCGAAGGAGUGGCUUGUAGUGUUUAUCAUGGAUUAUCUCAUGUAUGGACUGAAUUUGGAUUUCCUUUUGUGUAAUCGUUCAUAUUGGGAUUGUAUUGAACGUUUAGAAUUGCUUGGAUGUGUAAUAUGCUAGUUUUGGACUUCCUCCUGUAUCAUAAUUGGGAUCAUGGAUCAGAGUGGCGCAGUGGAAGCGUGGACGCUUCGCUUUUGAUAUGUAAAGUUUGGGAACCUUUGAUGUAUAUUUGAUAUAUAUAUCUUGAAAUUCCAUUGAGAAUUGUAGUGAACGACUGAGUCCUGGCGAGAGCUGGGCAGGCGGCCCGCCGAACCCUCUGGUUCGCCUUAGGGGGAGGUGGGGCCGUUACAGUUGGUAUCACAGCUUAGGCUUCAGAUCUCUAUAGUGUAUCCUAGGCUUGAAGUUUAGGAUGCCGGACUGUGGGUUUGGUUUGAAGUAUUAGUGAUUCUUGCGGGAUGUCUUGACUUGAUUAGUACAAGAGGGAAUGACGAGGACGACAUUCUUUUAAGGAGGGGAGAUUGUGACGCCCCGAAAAAAAAUGAGUUUGAGAACCCGGAAAUUUUCUAAUUUUCUAGGGUUUAUUUUGUUUAAAACAAAACCCGCCUUUUCUACAUUUUCUUGAUUAGAAAAAAUCCCAGAUAAAGUUUAUGAGCAAAAAUAGUUUUAAAAUAAUUUUUCUAGUAUCGGUUAGUUUUUGAGAAAUUAAAAGCGUAUUUUGGACGUGGGACCCACUAGUGCGAAAAGUUCAGAAAAUUCGGCCAAUUAGGUUAAAUUCCGGAUACUAUGUAAAAUUUAUCGGGUGUUAAGAGAUAAGUAGAGUGUGUGAAAUGAUUGAUGAGAGAGAGAAAAGAAAGGAUAGGAAUGCAUUUAUUGUAGUGCCACAUGUCACCAUGAUAUUGGUUAGGACUUAAGACUACUAUUCAUGGUUUUGACCUUUUGACUUAUGGAUUAAAUGUCUUCAAAAUUCACAAAAAAUUACCAUUUUUCACCCCUUGAUGGCCGGCCCUCUCUAGCAAGAAGAAAGACAAAACUCUUCAACAUCUUGGCAAAUUCCUAGCUCAAAUCAUCCAAACUACUUACCUAAAUUAGUUUUUACUCCAUAAAAUCCUUCCACUUGGUGUUAGUGAGUGUUUUGGUGAAGCUUUUGGAGAACUUAAGGUGUCCAACAUCUUCCUCUCUCUUGUUUACUUGGUAAGUAGUGAUUGACUAUCCUCUUACACCUAAUGAUGUUGAAUUUAUGCCUAAUGGUGGCUAUUGUGUUAGAAAUUGUGGUUUAUUUCUUGGUUUGAAGUGAUUUGGUUAAGUUUUUAUUUUUUUGAGGAAUUUUCUGGUUUUAUGUGAUCUUGAUGGUGUGGUUGUUUUUGAUGGUUGGUAAUAAGGGGCUAUGGAUCUAGUAGGUGCAUAUGAUAGGAAAUUGCAACUAAUUUUGGGUUUGGAUUGAAUUGUGGAAAGUUAGGGUUUUAUCACCCCUAAUUCUGUCCGGUUUUAGAUCAUAGGGUUAGAGGCCGAAUUGGACUUUGUUCAAAACAUGAAACUUGUAGGUAUUGAUGAGUUUGAAGUGCCUGCAAAAUUUCAGGGCAUUUGGAGUAGUGUAGAGUGAGUUAUGCCGUUUUUACUGUUGCUGUUCUGGGUGAUCAGAAUGUGCGAACUGUGAUUGUAAUCGUCUGUUUUGACUGGAAUUGCUUUGGAUUUGGAUGUUGGUGUCUUCUGAUGAAAUGUAGCUUGAUGCCUUAGCUAUCAUAUGCCUUUGGAAUCAAUGCAUUUGGACCUGUGUAGACUGAGUUGGACGAAUUACAGCAUUGUGUGAUUUGGGAACCUGCAAUUACGAUUCUGGUUUGGUAUUCUGCAUUUUUGACCUAGUUGUGCUAGGAUUUGGACUGAGUGACCUUCUACAUUGUUGUAGCCCUGGUUCUUAGCUUCGAAACGGUGGGUCUUGGACCUCCAUCCGAUACUCGUAAUACCUUUGGUGCCAUUACCGCAAAAGGACGUCAAAACUGUUUUCUGGUUUUGAGCAAUUGUGGUUAAUUGCUUUGUGAUUGGGUUUGAUUGUAGGAUGGAAAGGAUGAAUUUAUGGGGAAAUGCUGUCCGAUUUUUAAUAGCGUUGGUUACCUUAAGUUUCAUGUGAAAGGCUUGGACUUGAAUGAUGGAAUUGGCUAUAUUGGACGAGGAUUGUGAGCCGUGGAGGUGAGUGACCUUAAACUACUUGCAACGUUACUUUAAAAUGUUUCUUGCAUCGUUUCUUUGAUUGCAUAUCCUGUGUGCCGGCAUAUAAGUUCUUGACAUGUUUUGGCUCAAAUGAGUACUUGGAAUUCGUGUGCUAGACUCCGACGUCUCCUCCACCGUUUAAUGUUCCUGUAGGGCACCAAUGGGCUCAAUGUUCAAUGUUAAUGUUCAAUGUUAAAUGAUUGUUUGGAGCGUUGGACGUCUAAGUACCAUGAUUUCACUGGCUCAUGAGAGAAGUGAAAGUGCAUUGAUUGUUGAAGCAUGACAUUAUUGAAAUGAACGAUUGUGAAACUGAUUUGAUAACUGAAUUUCUUGGUUACUCGCUGAGCUUCUAGCUCACCCCAAAAUGUUUUAUUCCCCUCCACAGGGCUCAAGGCGAAGGAGUGGCUUGUAGUGUUUAUCAUGGAUUAUCUCAUGUAUGGACUGAAUUUGGAUUUCCUUUUGUGUAAUCGUUCAUAUUGGGAUUGUAUUGAACGUUUAGAAUUGCUUGGAUGUGUAAUAGGCUAGUUUUGGACUUCCUCCUGUAUCAUAAUUGGGAUCAUGGAUCAGAGUGGCGCAGUGGAAGCGUGGACGCUUCGCUUUUGAUAUGUAAAGUUUGGGAACCUUUGAUGUAUAUUUGAUAUAUAUAUCUUGAAAUUCCAUUGAGGAUUGUAGUGAACGACUGAGUCCUGGCGAGAGCUGGGCAGGCGGCCCGCCGAACCCUCUGGUUCGCCUUAGGGGGAGGUGGGGCCGUUACACACAGUGCCCUAGCCUCAGCUUGCAAUGACGUCACAUUUCUAUACAGCUCCGAAUAUGCAAAAAUCACCCGACCCUUAGAAUCCCUCGGUACUCCCCCUCCUCCGCCUGUGAAUGGGUGAUGACAGACCCAUCAAAAUUGAGCUUCACCACCGCUGCCGUUGGGUGGACCCACCGCACAUACCGCACAUACCGCACCUGGACAGGGAGACGGACUUCACCAAGGCGUCGGAUCACCGCCUGCCAGCUACACCCCCGCACCUGACAUCGAAGGAAUGGAAACUGAGAUCCAAGUAAGUCCCUAAAGUCACCCAAUAUUCUAUUCGAGAUGAUCUCCGCUGAAAGGACCUGUCCAUCGUAAACAAACCCACAUCGCGCCUUCCACAAAUGCCAUAAAAUAAUUGCUGGCCCAACGUGCAAUACCCAUCGCAAGAUCCAAUGAUGCGACUGUGCAAACCACCAGGACAUACACCGAUCACGGAUCGAUCUGCCGAGAGAAGAGACUCCAAAUGGCGAUCCAAAGAAACCCCAGAUUGCCGUGGGAAUGUCCCCCAUGGAAAAAAUAUGUUGCAUGGUCUCAAGUUGCGGCUCGCUACAACAGAAUUAUAUCUUGGAAAUAUUAGACAUAAAGAGCAGGAUCUUUAGCAUGAUUUGUAAACUAUAAUUAAGAGAUAAAUUCUAAAUUGGCAUACCUUGUGACAUUGAAGACAUUUUGGAGAAGAAUUCUACAGCUCUGUAUCACCAAGCCUUUCAAUCUCCAAGGUUGUAAUGAUACGAACUCGACCCAACAAGAACCUGUCUUGAAGAACCAAAUUGAUCAGGCAGCGGAAGGAUCUAUCUUGAUUAGGUUAUGGAACAAUAACUACCUUGCUAGAUUUAAAGAGAACUCGUCUCUAGAAACCUAGUGGAUUAGUUAUUGACUUGAAAAAAACAAGAUGAUGUGAUCAUCUUGUCUUGAACACCACAAGUAUCCAAGCUAAUACUUGAUACAGUUCAAGAAGAAACUCAAGUUCCAUCAAGGAACUCCAUAAAAGGAGACAACUCUCUUUUUAUUAAUUCAUCUUCAACAUCAUAUUUUUUGAAUAGUUAAAUUAAGUUGGCUAUUUAUAACCUUACAAGACUCAAAACCCUAAUCUAAAUUGAAAACAAUACAAGUUUCCUUAUUUGACUUGACUUCUAAACUUGACACAACUUCCUAAAUAAAUUUGGAAGCAAUUUAACUACUUUCCUAAAACUCUAAUUCAACUAGAAUAGGAAACUAGCUAACUCAAAUUGGCUUAACUAUGGUCAACAUGACCUUAGCCUUUAUUCCCUAAUUCAAACAACUUACUUAACUCUCAAAUUAACUCUAAUUAACAACUAACAUUGCUGAAAACUCAAUUAAAUAAAUGAUAACAAGAAAUAAGCAUGACACGGGGUUGGAUCUUCAAUGAUUCUCGAGCCCGAUUGCACCAUCAACCAUCAAAUGAAUUUUCCUUGAAUUUGAAGGGAAUCCGAAUCUUCAUGUUCUCAUCAUGUAAACUAUCGCUUUAUGCUAUCCAGCCUUCCCUCACCUAACUCCCUUUUUUGUUAUUUUAGUGAUGGGUAAAAAUAACGUAUGUCAGAGUGGUGAGAAGGACCAAGAGCCCUAGAACAUUUAUAGAGUCACAAUCCCUCCCAUCAUGGGAUAAUGAUAAACUCUAAUUUUCUUAUCGUACUUUAUUUGUUAACCAUAAUGAUAAGAUACAGUUUAAAAUUACUGUAAUUAUCAGAUAAAGUACCACAAUAAAUAUCAUAUAAUAUGUUCACAUACAAUGAAUAUGGGACUCCCUACUUCCUCCAAUCAUCUAUUCUCAUUAGAGCUCUGUAAUUGGUUAUUCAUAUUUAUUCAUAUGGUUAUUCAUCCUUCUAAUUAACGGGAGUUAUCUUAAUAAUAUUAUACGUGGUCAUGUAGGCCACAUAAAUAUUCUAAUAGGAAAAUCUUCUUAAUUUGUAUAGUAUCUUGCACAAUCCAACUUGGAAAGUCGUACUACUAAUUUGGGAAGCAAAAGAAACGGAGGAUCGCGCCUAAUCUUUGGCCAUUUUGUUCAAUAUUUCUCCCAUUUUACAUUAACCCCUAGUUUGGUAUGUGAAAAUGUCCAGAAUAAAAAAAAUCUUUCCACUUGGAAUACCUUUUCACCAUGAUGGUAGGGAGAAAAAUUUAUCAUUUUACUGUCUAGUAUAUAAGGCAAAAUAGAAUGUUCAUUCAUUUUUAAGUGUUUGAAAUAAUCAAUAUUAAAAUACCAAAAUACAUUACAGUCGAUACAAAUUUGAUUUAAUUACCCUAAAUUAGUUUACGGGACACAACAUGCUUUAUUACUUUUGUCUUGUUGGUUCUAUUGUGUUAUUUGUUUGUUUACAUGGAAUUUUGACAUUUUUUGUAUUCGAAAUAAUUGAUAAUUGAUAUUAAAAUAGUUCAAUUGUAAUAAUUGAUUCAUUCUAGAAUAUAGACCUUUACAUUCAACUGUUGCAUCUUCUGGCCAUAUAAUUAAUAUAAAUUAUAUGAAUCUAAACAAAUAUAAUAUAAUUUCGAUUCUUAUUAAAAUUUGACACUCCUAAGAAGUUGUAUGAAUUAUCAAAAAAUUGAACAAAGUACUUAUAUUGCUUGUACGCAAAAUAUUUAAGAUUGACGAACAAAACGAUGGCCUGCUGCCUACAUUCUUUCACUUUCUCACUCUCUAUCUCUUCCUCUAGAGAGAGAAAGAGAAAAAAAUGGUGGUACAGAACGGACUCUCUCAAUUUUUUCUUUUGCCUCCCUGAUUUUCUUUUUCCAAGGUUUCUUGCCCUUACUUUCUUCUACCCAACUAAUUGCCCAAUUCUUGUUGGGGCUGAACCUAUCUAUCUAUGUGUGAUUCAAGAAAGAAAUAAAACUAAAACUGCUGCUGCGCGCCUUAAUUGGUCCUCCGUCGUCUUUGCCACUGAACGGAUUCCUUCAUUUUUUUUUUAGGUGUGGCUAGAUAUUGAAAGGGUUGAAGAAAAUUUAAGAUUGAAUUUGAGUCUUUGCACUUGCAAUUAAUUUGUAGGUGUUCUUGGUUUCUUACAGUUGAUGACGGAUUAUUACUGACGAGUUCCAUGGGAACUAUCUUCAGUUACAAAUAGAAAUAAACUGGAAAUUAUUUCAUAGAAUGGUACCUAAGAUAAUGAUUGUGAAAUCAGUAUUCAUCGCAAGCAGAUUGUCAUAAUUAAAGAUGUAAAGAUAUAUAAGACUGUAGCCAGUUUGUGAUCGCUAUAAAAAUAGAAAAUAAUAUAAUAUAUCAUUUGUCCAAACAUAAUAAUUCCAACUUCACACAAGUUAAACGAAUUCAUUUAGGAUUAAGUCGUUAAUGCCUUUGAGAAAAAAAGAAUAACUUAGUUUAGUUAGAUAAAAUAUUUUUAUAUUUAUUAAAUUAUUUUUAAUUCAUAAACGGUGAUCAAGUCAACCCGUUGGUGACUUGAAUUCGACCUUUUUUUUUUCAGGUUCAUCGGGUUCGACCCAAUUCUAACUCAAACCCAUUAAUUUCAACCCAAACCCAUUAAUUUCAUGUUAGAUUCAUAUUAUAUUUUCAGGUCGUAUCGAAAAUUGCCUCCUCUAGAUUUAACUUACCAAAAAAGAAAAAGUAAAUUUCAGCUGCAAAGCUUUGAGUAAUUUUGAAGUGGGAAAAUCAUUUGAAAAGCUCUUCACAUUUCACUAAAUGAAUUUUUUUUUUGUCUUUCACUUUUAAAAUAAUAAAUUUACGUUUCUUAAAAAAUCAAAUCUGUAAAAUUAAGUUCAACCUAGGUUUUCGACUACUUUUUACACUGAAUUUAUCAUGUAACCCAAAUAUGAUCAUUUUUUCGGAACAGAAAGGUUAAAUCUCAUUUGUAGUCGAACAAAUGGCUUGAUCCAAAAGAGUAAGAUCUGACCUAAAUCAUAUUUAUUUUUUCCUGAAAAGUGGGAUCUGAUUUAAUUCAUAUUCAUUUUUAUCCUAAAAAAAUGAAAUUUGACUUUUUUAUACAUAAAAAAUGAUUGCAUGUGAACCACAUGGUGAUUUCAAGCUAAUGUUUUUGGUAAAAAACUUAGAUUCGAACAAAAUUUUGUUAACUUGAAUUUGUAAGGGACAUAAAGCUAAUAUUUUAAAAAUGAAGAACCAAAAAAUUUAUUUAACAAAAUAUAGGAGACGUUUUGAAAGAUUUUCACUUUUGAAGUUCAGUCUUUUGAAUACUGCCUAUCCUUUGAUUUCCUAUUGUACUGCUUUUCAGUGAUUUAUUGAGAGCUCCUAUUUGGAAAUGGUCAAACCUAACAACGGAUCUCAGCGUUAUUUGAAACCAUGAAAACUGCAAAGACAAGUUGGUCAUUAAAAAAUCUACUACAGCCAACGACAUUAGCCUUAUUUGAAUUGCAAGUUUUCACAAACAAAUUUUGAAAUAUUUUUUAGUCACAUAUUUAUCUUAUAGAUGUUAUAUUAAUUAUUAUAAUAUAUUUUUCUAUGAAACUCUAUGAAAUUAUAUACGUUCUAUUAUCUUAUAUACGUCAUGUCACUAUAUAGUAUAUUUUUCUAAGAAACUCUGUAAACUUACAAUUCAAACUGUAACUUUUCAUUUUAGUGCGUCCUUUCUAAGUGAUUUUAGUGCGUCCACUUCAAUUCAUGCAUGAUAGUCCAGAAUUCUGUAGAAGGACAAUAAUUUAGGAAGGACUGGAAAAUUCAAUGGAAACAAGACAUGUCGCAUUCGGAAGUGCGAUAAUGUAAUCAACCUCACUAUUAAAAGAAGAACAAGAUUGUAUAAAUCCAUACAUCAAAUCCGUAUUCAAUAGCUUUAGUCGAAAUUCGUGCUCCCCAAGAAAGUACAAGUGAACUUCUUAUUCAUCAAAUGUGCAUAAACAAUAUGAUGUGGCCUAGAGAAAAGUUCAAGCUAAGAUGCUCAAGUAUAAGAUAAAAUUGAGUGAAGGGAGAAGGUUGAUUUAGACCUAUUCAUCAUCAAUUUUGAUUUACAUAUUCCAAUCUGUUGCCACAAAAAAAAAUCAAGCACAGGGAAAAUUAUUUUAAUAUAUAUAAAAAUAUGUGAAAAGAGGAAGAGAAUAAAUACACAAUAUAACUUAAAUAAUUUUAUAAACUAAACUCAACAUUAAUACUCACAAAUAACAAUUUGAGAAGCUUUCUCUCAAUGUCCUUCAAGAAAACAAUGAGAUGGUACUACUCAAUUUAUAGAGUAUCCAACGGACUAUAGUUACAAAGGAAUACGACAAUGGGCAAAUAUAUAUAUAUAUAUAUAUAUAUAUAUAUAUAUAUAUAUAUUGCAAUUCUGAACAGGCGAGGAGUAUCCCUCUCCCAAAAUGAUAAAUGUAACUUGCUAAACUUGAAUGACCAGACAUUAGGAAAUAUUUCUUUGCCGCAUCAACUUCUAAAUUCUUCAACUCACUAGACUAACCAAAAAAAAAAAAGAGUUGCCACAUAACUAAUUUAAUUUAAUAAUUAGUCUUGGUUUAAUUACCUGCUGGACUUGGAUUUUAUCUCGGGAUAAAACUCAAAUCCAACAAAAUAACGGUUGGUGGGAUAAAACUCAAAUCUAACAUUGUCUACACAACCAUUAAUCAUCUUUCUUGGGCAAUUACAUAAUCAAUCCAAUCUUGCUAAUUGUCAGCCUUGAAGGACAACGCUUGGAAAUUAAUUAACAGCUUAUCAUAUGCACUACAAAAUACAGAAGUUUAAUCCAUAGGUUUAUUUGUAGACCAUGUAAUCAAUUGGUGAGCCACACUCACCAAUUGAUUCAGUGAUGUAUGUUUAUAUUACUAGCAUUAGAUUAUAAAGAAAAUUGAUGUGGCUAUAGAGUUCAAAAAUAUCUUUCAAACCCGUUUAGAUUAGGUUAGGAUACGCCAAGAACGAGAUAUGGGAGGAUAACAGUUGCAUGUUUUUAAUUGUCGGCUGUCUAUUCUGUAUCGACGUGGAGACUUGGAGCCGCGAGCUUAGAAAUUAGUGACUUUCAUAACUUAGGACAGGUUAGGUAAGUACAAUAAUUGCCCCAUCCAUUAUUACGCACUCAAAGGGACCCAUUUCACAUUAUCCUGCUCGGGAUGUUUGCAUUUAAUUUGCUGGGCAUUUAUCUGAAAGGAAUAUUCUUUUAGAUGCGUUACAUGCCAAACGAUAGCAAUAAUUAGAACUGUACAAUUUGUAUGAAGAGUUGGAGUCAGUCCCAUUCGCUCUUGAGCUGCUGUGUUUCACAUUUCUAUGUUGCACUACUAUUUUAUGACUCGUCGAGAGAGACAUUCUAUUGUGUCCGGAAAAAAAAAAGAAUUGGAUUUUUAUUCAUUAUUGCAUCGGAUAUGUCAUUGGUGGAGUCAGAACCUUGUGAUAAGGGUGCAAUGACCAAUUUCAGUGUAAAUCAUACUUUUAGGCUUAGUUUGGGAGUUUAGGAUAGAAAAGAAAGGAAGGGAAAACUCAAGUUAUGAGAGAAGAGAAGAGAAGAAGGGAUUGUUAUAUUGUUUGGGAGCGUUGAAAAUUAGUGGAAUGAUUUUGGAUAUGAAAAUCAUUAAAUAUCUGUUUAAUACCUUUUUAAGGACAAAUAGGUAUUUUAAAAAAAUUGAUAAGCUUCUGAUGCGACUGCCGAGAGCGCGUUCCGAGCUGAGCUGCGCUAGGCUGAACGAACUAAGGAUGACUGAACUGGUACUAGCGGGGUGAGCGAGCUGACCUGCAAGAAAGACCGGGGCUGGUUCCUCGGUGUAGCUCUGACGGUCAAGUCAGUACGAGUUUAAGAGUAGGGUAACAACGUAGAUAUUGUUGAUGGCGUACCUUGCUUUGUCUUGUGGUGGUGUAUUUAUAAGAUCCCGAGUAGUAGUUUCCCUAUAGGAUUAGAAGUCCGACUAGAAAGGGAGUCUUUCUAGGGUUUCGUCUGCUAAUUUCGAAAGGUUCGGGGGCUGCGACCCACCAGGCCCAUCCAAUUGGGAGGCGGCGCCCAUGCGCGAACUGUCCUCCCUCCUGCCCGAGCUGUUUGGCCGAACUGCCAGGUCACAAUGUCCGAACUGACACGUGGCUCCUGCGGAUUGGCCCCACUACACUAGCCCCCCUUUGAGUCUAUAGUCAUCGAAAGAUCGCAUGAAUCAGGACCGAAUUUCGAGGUGACGGGUCAGUUCGGUGUGGGACCCAUAAUCCCACGAUUGCUGCCUUUGCUCGAGUAACCGUCACUUCAAGCGUUACGUCCCUUCAUAAUGACGGUUACCAGCCCAAUCGUCGCGCAAUACAGCGGUCUUUCGAUAAAUAAAUUUUAAUUUUAAUUUGGGACGCUUGACAGGUGCUGAACCUGUGCAAUAAUAAUAAUAAAUAAACCUAACUACCACCAACGCAGUCAAUAACCAAUUCUAGGUACUGGAACAGAGACUCUAGGUGUGCAAUGGGUUACUUGAUUCACCCUGUUCCCAAAGAGUUUGCUUAAUCCGAUAUACCAGAAUUAAUUAGUUGACAAAAUUUACUAACUAGUAGACAGUGGCAAGCAGGGUCGUCUCCUCAGGGAUUGGAGAUAUUUGUCUCUUUGAAGUUCCAAUUAGUAAAAAUGGGGGUUUUAUCGGAAUAAAACUAAAAAUAUUUAAGCAAUUCAACUAAAAAUAAAUAAUUAACUAGCACGAAUGUAGACAGGAAUUAAAUCAAGAAUAGAUAAAUUCUAACCAAGAAUACAACUACUCAGACACAGUCCAUUCAUCCAAUCAUUGAUGCAAGAGAUGUUCACUUAAUUUAUUAAUAGAUUAGUUAUAGUCGCCGACGAGCUCUGACGACCAAUUUUUCCUUAAUUUAUUGAUAACCAAGGUACGACAAUUGAUUACUUCUAACCAGAAAAUACUCCUAGGUAGGACCAUAGGAAUUAAUUUCUCAAUUGCAUUAAGAAUUAGAAAAACCUAACUCCAAUCAAUAACACGCUACGAGGGUUAUUCAAAUCAGAUUGCACGUCCCCCUAGUGUGUAAAAACGCUAGUUGCCACUGAUAUUAAUCGAUUAAAUAAUUACGGAUUUAAUUGACUAAUUUGGCAGGAGAUUAAUAAGUCGCAUUGAACAUUGGGCCCUUGACAUUUAAUUAACUAAAUAAUCCCAUAGAAAUUCAAACAGACAACGUGCAAAUAUUAACAAAUUAAGAAACACAUGAAAAUUAAUUCGAUCUCACAGAUAUUCGGGACUGCGUCGUCGCGUUGAUUCUUGACUAGAUGAAAAGCUUAAUCACACCGCAUAAGUAAAUCUCCACGCAAAUUAAUUGAUUCACAAGCCAUCACAUUUGUCACUAGAUAAUCAAGAAGUAAACGAUGUUUCUCCAGUCGGGACUUUUGUCGAACAAGAGUCACGCAUGAAAAGGAAAAGAAAGAAAACUAAACUGUCUCUAAACAAUGACUAAUGCUCCCUCCGUCGUUCUUGCCGCAUUGAGAGAAAAGGUACAAAAAGAAAGCUCUGCCGAAUUCCUGGUAUUUCGUUUCCUCUUGGUAGGAGGACUCCUAGUCAGCAACUCUUCAUCAACAAAAGGAAAAGGGAGUCGUUGCUUAGUACCCUGUGGGCCAGAUUCGUGAAGCUUUUUGAAGUCUCCCACGUGUGGAGCAAUUUUCUCCAACAGGUCCCCCUUUUUAGCACUUUUCAGUUCCACUUCCUGUAGAUGGUCCAAAUACCAAAUAUAAGUAUAUAUUAACAAUUUAAAACAAUAUUUGGUAAGGACAAAAGGGAAAAUUAACAAUAAAAUUACUAACAAUUAACACCCUAUCAAUUCCCCCCAUACCUAAAUCAUGUUUGCCUUCAAGUAUGAGAACAACUAAACCCAACAAUGGUCAACUCUCACGUCAUCUAUUUUCAAGCUGUGUUUAUACCAAAAUCAAGGUUCAGUGGCCAAGUGUCAAGACACAAUCCUCUCGGUUAGCUCCUGAAAUCACAGACUCGUCUAAUUCAUGGCUAACUCAUCUAGAAAAUCAAAAUAUUAAACUAGCAAUAGUCAGGAAUUGGUCCAACUGGCGACCAAAAUCUCAACAUUGAAGAACAAGGAUCGGCAGGCCAACAUGAUCAUAAGCUUACAUAUUUUUCACAUCUGUUCUUUUUCUUUCUUCCUUUUUUUUCUUUUUCUUUUUUUUUCUUUGUUUUUCUUCUUUUUUGAACGAAUAAAUGCUUAGUCCCAAGCCAUUCAAGUCUUUUGACAUGAAUUCUAACAUUUUUAGAUGAAAGAGUUCAGUUACUCAACUUUUCACCGCUUCAAGACCACCUACUCAUAGAUAUCGCCACUGUUUUGACGCGAGAGUCGACACUUGUGGUGACGACUCCCGGUUACUGGGUGACGACACUAGCGAAGUAUAGCCAUAUGUUAUUCACAACAAAACACCAAAAUAUCAGACAAUUAAAGAACAUGGCCCACGUCAUCUCCUAAACAUGGAGAACUAAGGUCAACAGGGGACCAAUCCAUACAACAGUUGCCAGCAAAAUAUUUAUAUUGCCUAAACAAGUUAACCACAAUUCGCACAAAGUUAUUAAACUCACAGUAUUCACCAAGACAAUAUGCUCUUACUUGCCACCGAAGCUAAAUUUAUAGAAUAAAACACAUCUAGCAAUAGAAGAGUGAGUUGCCAAUCAAUUGUUGAUCACCAAGAUAAGCAGUACCAAAAACAAAAAAUAAAGAGACACCAGUUGAACCCCCCCACAACCGAAUGGUACAUUGCCCUCAAUGUAACAAAUAAACAGCAAAAACAAGAAGAAAGGCAACGAAACUUCCCUGAAGUCGGGGUCACAGCGGUGGGUGAGGCGGAAAUGGUGCUUGAUGAAGCGGCAGCGAGUGCAAGAGGCGGUGGCGGCGCUUGGCAGUCGUGCGCGAGGAGGUGGCAAAGGGAAAAAGCAGCGGCGAUAAAGGAGGGUUUCGGCCGAAAUAGAAAAGGGAGAAGGAGAAGCAGGGCAAAAGAGGAAGAAAAGGGAAAGAAAGAAAGAAAAGAAAAAAAGAAAGAAAAAAAGAAAAAUAGUUUUUUGGGGUUUUCUCUCUUUUUUUUUUAAGUCAAAAUUUAAAAUUUGGUAUUUGAAAAUCGAAAUUCUGAGUUGAACGGGAAAUAUUUUUAAUUUUCAAUUUUUUAAUUUUUAAUUUUAAUUUUUUAAUUUUAAUUUUUUUUUAGGAUCUUGGGUCGUCAAAUAUGACGUGGGCACGCCAAAAUUAUAAAACGUCCAUUGACCUUGGGAGUCACUUUUUGCAACUUAACGCGUGCCCUCCUCGCGUAGGCACGCCAAGAUUCCAUUUCCUGCUGACGUCGCGAGAUGUUGAGAUUUUACCAACAUGGCGUGGGCACGCCAAGAUUGAUAAACGUCCACUGACCUUGGGAGUCACUUUUUGCGUGCCCUCCUCGCGUGGGCACGCCAAGAUUCCCUGUCCUGGUCACAGUGGGAAAAAAUAUGAAAAUUGACUAGUAGCCAAAUGAGAAACGACAAAUCGAAAGAAUUAAACAACAAAACAAAAAAAAAUAACAAAACAAAUAUUUGGAUUGCCUCCCAAAAAGCGCCUUUCUUUAACGCCUUUGGCUAGACGUUAAACAUCACUUCAAUUUGGAUGUAAUUCAAUUUUCGUUGUAAUUUGUGGCCUUCCUCCGGGAUCCAAAUAGCCAUUGAGUGUAACUUUUUUCCUUAAUUUUUUACUCAUUUUCACCUCAUGAAUUGCUUUCAUCCCAUGAUACUUGUUCGCAGCAACUUUAAAUUUACCCCUACAAGUAAAUUCAGAAAAUUCUUGCACAGAGGGAUUAGUAGCAUGCAUAGCGAACACAGAGUGAGAGUUUAUAGGAUGUUUCAUUGUAUCAAAAAUAUUAAAAUGGACUAUUUCUCCAUCAAAUUUCAUUGUAAGAGUACCCUUACUAACAUCAAUCUUAGUUUCGGCAGUACUCAAGAAUGACCUUCCUAAUAUAAUGGGUGAUGGAUUUGGGGCACUUUCAUCAUCCAUGUAAAGCAUAUAAAAAUCAGCAAGAAAAAUUAAUCCAUCUACUUGCACUAAAACAUCCUCAACUACCCCAUCCGGGUAAGCAAAUGUACGAUCAGCCAAUUGAAUUAUUAUCCCUAUUUCUUUCAAAGGUCCUAAAUUUAGAGAAUCAUAGAUUGAUUUAGGCAUUACAUUAAUAGAAGCUCCUAAAUCUAGCAUGGCAUUUUUUAUAUUAGAAUGUCCAAUCUUACAGGGGAUAGUAAACAUACCUGGAUCCCCAUAUUUAGGUGGUAGUUUCCUUUGUAGAAACGCUGAAACGUUCUCACCUACCACAAUAUGCUCAUCCCCCCUCAUCUUCUUCUUGUUGAUACACAAGUUUUUCAAGCAUUUAGCAUAUUUUGGCACUUGCUUGAUCGCGUUCAACAAAGGGAUAUUGAUUGCCACCUUUUGAAACACUUCUAGAAUCUCAUUUUCCUUAUCUUGCUUCUUCGAUUUCUCCAACCUGCUAGGAAAAAGCGGUGGGUUAGUUUUAACUAUAAUGAAUGGGUCCAGGAGUACCUUUGGAUCCUUGUUGCUUCUGCCCUGCUCUUCAAACUCUUUCUCAAUUCGUUCCUCAUCCUUGUCCUUAGGAAUCACGAGCUCGGGUCCUUGGAUUUGCUUUCCACUCCUCAAGGUCAUUGCGCUCACAUUCUUCAAGUUCAGUUCAGGUUGAGACGGCAAUUUUCCAUAAGUUUGAGAUUCCAGGUAGUUGAUUGCUAUUGCCAUCUGACUCAUCUGACUCAUCUGACUCUACAUUACUUGCACCUGUCCCAGUUGAUUCCUCAUAUUUUAUAGGUCAGAAUCCGUCUUUUACUGAUUAGCAAUUAAUUGCUUCAUCAUCUCUUCCAUAGACGGGCUUGAGUUUGAAGGGGGUGGUGGCAGGCGAGAUUGAUACUGUUGUUAGUACCCUUGUUAUCUAUUUGGUGCAAAAUUCGACUGCCUAUUUCCUCCAUAACUAAAGUUAGGAUGAUCUCUCCAACCCGAAUUGUACGUAUUGGAGUAUGGGUCGUAUGGCUGUCUUGGCGCGGGCGCGUGACCAGCCAUGUUCACUUGUUCCUCACUUUCUUCCUGAACCAAUGGACACAUCUCUGUAGAGUGACCCAAGGUAGCGCAUAUCCCACAUACCUUGGCUUGUGAGGCACUUUCCACAGCUAGUUAUCGCACGAAAGACGUCAAUUCAGAGAUUUGUUGUUGGAUGGAGGAUGUUUCUACCUCAUUCAUCGUACGCGUCGGGGUGUCCUCUCUUGAACUGAACUGCUGUGAAUUCUCAGCCAUCCCUUCAAUCAACUCCUAUGCUUCUCGAGGAGUCUUGUUCACCAAUGCUCCUCCACUCGCAGCAUCGAUUAUACUUCUGUUCCUGAAGAGUAAUCCCUCAGAGAAAUAUUGGAUGAGCAGUUGCUCACUUAUCUGAUGCUGAGGGCAUUUGAUGCACAACUUUUUAAACCUCUCCCAGUACUCAUAGAGGGACUCGUCUGGGUGUUGUUUGAUACCGCAUAUCUCCUUCCUCAGACUUGCAGCUCGAGACGCAGGAAAAUAUUUGUCCAAGAAUUUUUUCUUCAAUUGGUCCCACGUGGUAAUAUUACCUGGUGGUAGGUAGUACAACCAGUCUUUUGCAGAGUCCUUCAAGGAGAAGGGGAAGACCCUCAUUUUUAUCUGCUCUUCUGUGAUUCCCGGGGGUUUCAUACUGUUACAAACGACGUCGAAUUCUUGCAAGUGCUUAUAGGGCUCCUCUCCUGGUAGACCAUGGAAAGAUGGCAAGAGGUGAAUUAGAUCAGAUUUUAGUUCAAAGGGAGUGUUAUCAUUCAAACUUGGGAAAGUAAUGCAUAAAGGUUGCUGAUUUAAAUUAGGAGCAGCGAACUCCCUUAAUGUUCGUGCAUUAGUCAUAGUGACUUUCUCUUGAUCCGAGUCACUCGAAGUGUCACCAAACGAAUCUGUUGGUUCAACUUCUAGCUCAGGUCUCUGAAAUGUAUCACUGAAGUGCUCUUCUCUGAGUUGUCUGGUCUCUUUCCUUGUUCUACGCACAGUCUUCUCUACCUCGGGGUCGAAAAUUAAUUCACCUGUACAAGAAGAACGAGGCAUACACUUGAAAAGAAUUAAAAAUUAGAAAAAAAUGAACUUAAAAAGAAGCAAAUAACUGACGCCAAUCCCCAGUAACGGCACCAAAAAUUGACAGGUGCCAAACCUGUUCAAUAAUAAAAUAAAUAAACUAACUACCAUUAACGCAGUCAAUAAUCAAUUCUAGAUACUGGAGCAGGGACUCUAGGUGUGCAAUGGAUUACUUGAUUCCUGUUCCCGAAGAGUUUGCUUAAUCCGAUAUACCAGAAUUAAUUAGUUGACAAAAUUUAUUAACUAAUAGACAGUGGCAAGCAGGGUCGUCUCCUCAGGGACUGAGGAUAUUUGUCUCUUUGAAGUUCCAAUUGGUAAAAAGGGGGGUUUUAUCGGAAUAAAACUAAAAAUAUUUAAGCAAUUCAACUAAAAACAAAUAAUUAACUAGCACGAAUGUAGAAAGGAAUUAAAUCAAGAAUAGAUAAAUUCUAACCAAGAAUACAACUAUUCAGACACAGUCCAUUCAUCCAAUCAUUGAUGCAAGGGAUGUUCACUUAAUUUAUUAAUAGGUUAGUUAUAGUCGCCAACGAGAGUUCUGACGACCAAUUUUUCCUUAAUUUAUUGAUAAUCAAGGUACGACCAUUGAUUACUGCUAACCAGAAAAUACUCCUAGGUACGACCAUAGAAAUUAAUUCUCCAAUUGCAUUAAGAACUAGAAAAACCUAAUCCCAAUCAAUAACACGCUACGAGGGUUAUUCAAAUCAGAUUGCGCGUCCCCUUAGUGUGUAAAAAUGCUAGUUGCCACUGAUAUUAAUCGAUUAAAUAAUUACGGAUUUAAUUGACUAAUUUGGCAGGCGAUUAAUAAGUCGCAUUGAACAUCGGGCCCUUGACAUUCAAUUAACUAAAUAAUCCCAUAGAAAUUCAAACAGACAACGUGCAAAUAUUAACAAAUUAAGGAACACAUGAAAAUUAAUUCGAUCUCACAGAUAUUCGAGACUGCGUCGUCGCGUUGAUCCUUAACUAGAUGAAAAGCUUAAUCACGCCGCAUAAGUAAAUCUCCACGCAAAUUAAUUGAUUCACAAGGCAUCACGUUUGUCACUAGAUAAUCAAGAAGUAAACGAUGUUUCUCCAAUCGGGACUUUUGUCGAAAAAGAGUCACGCAUGAAAAGGAAAGAAAGAAAACUAAACUGUCUCUAAACAAUGACUAAUGCUCCCUCCGUCGUUCCUGCCGCAUUGAGAGAAAAGGUACAAAAAGAAAGCUCUGCCGAAUUCCUGGUAUUUCGUUUCCUCUUGGUAGGAGGACUCCUAGUCAGCAACUCUUCAUCAACAAAAGGAAAAGGGAGUCCGUUGCUUAGUACCCUGUGAGCCAGAUUCGUGAAGCUUUUUGAAGUCUCCCACGUGUGGAGCAAUUUUCUCCAACAGGUCCCCCUUUUUAGCAUUUUUCAAUUCCACUUCCUGUAGAUGGUCAAAAUAUCAAAUAUAAGUAUAUAUUAACAAUUUAAAACAAUAUUUGGUAAGGACAAAAGGAAAAAUUAAUAAUAAAAUUACUAACAAUUAACACCCUAUCAACGCUUCGUCUUCCCGCUCUGGUGGCCUAUAAAUAGGCUCCACUAGAUGUCACUUUCACGCUUUCUUCCUCAUUUUCUCAGCUCCCCAUCUUUUACUCAGCUCGCUCAUCUCCUCCUCCUACGAGAGUUAGUUCGGGCGUCCUGUCAAGAGUUCAGUCGUGCACUGCUGUCCGUGCGUCUCCCCUAAGCACCACUGAGCGCUCGAGCUCUUUUCCCCUACUCUUACUAGUAAGUUCCUUUUCUCCCUCCUUUUAUAUCUUCUUCCUCUGAGCAUUCUGACAUAACUAGUUCGGCCCCUAGGCGUAGAGUAGCCCGACCUGUACCCAUAAAGGUCAUCUCUUCCUCUCCUUCUCCUUCCAGUUCUUCACCUUCCAGCUCGUUAGAGUCAGAAUAUAUUCCUUCCCCUGCUCUUUCUCCUGUUCGAGCAAUGGCUCAACCCGAACAGCCUAUUCAGCCGAACAACCUAUUCAGCUUGCAGCUAGAACUGCUGCCAAGCAGUUCCACUUGAGGCAACUCCUCUACGAGCUAGGGCAGGGCCCUCCAGGGGGCCCGAUAUUGACUUCGGUGAAGUGGAUCUUAUCCCUCCCAUCCUGGAUCAGGGGGAUGUGGACGAAUAACCCAGCUCAUCCCUCCCAAAGGGGACUAGUGUUGUGGGGCCAAUCCGCAGGAUCGGGAUCGGGACGAUAAGGUUGUCAUGUAAUUGAUGCGACUGCCGAGAGCGCGUUCCGAGCUGAGCUGCGCUGGGCUGAAUGAACUGAGGAUGACCGAACUGGUACUAGCGGGGUGAGCGAGCUGACCUGCAAGAAAGACCAACGGCGGGACUGGUUCCCUGGUGUAGCUCCGACGGUCAAGUCAGUAAGAGUUUAAGAGUAGGGUAACAGCGUAGAUACUGUUGAUGGCGUACCUUGUUUUGUCUUGUGGUAGUGUAUUUAUAAGAUCCCGGGUAGUAGUUUCCCUAUAGGAUUAGGAGUCCGGCUAGAAAGGGAGUCUUUCUAGGGUUUUGUCUGCUAACUCCGAAAGGGUCGUGGGCUGCGGUCCACCAGGCCCAUCCAGUUGGGAGGCGGUGGCCAUGCGCGAACUGUCCUCCCUCCUGCCCGAGUUGUCUAGCCAAAUUGCCAGGUCACAAUGUUCGAACUGACACAUGGCUCCUGCGGAUUGGCCCCACUACAGCUUUCUUAAACUUUUUUCUCAUUUCUUUCCAAUUUGGAAGGAAAAAUUUUGGCUACUAUUCAUGCUCUUAAAUUCUUCCACUUCCUUUCUUUUCUUUCCUACUAAAAACUAACAAAUGAAGGAAAAUUUAACUUUUUCUUCUUUCCAUUUCUUUUCUGUCCAAAUCCUCCACUCCCAAACGAGCCCUUAGAUUUAUAUAAUAAAUAUACAGUGUGCUUUUGAUUUAAAAAGUGAAAUCCUUUUUUUUCUAUUAGUGUUUAAUUUGAAAUAAAUCUUAAAUUUUUGUUAGAGAUAAUCAAUAUAAAGUAUUUUUUUGGAGUAAAUGUAGAAUAAGUGAGGAAUAUAUAAAACUUCAAAAGAUAACCUAUAUAAAGAAGGGAAUUUUCUUAAAUUUGACUUACAAAUGAAAGAGAGAAUUUUAUAAAAUUCAGGGGUGCAAACAUGGUAUAAACUUAAAAAUUUUGAAAAAUUUGAAGGCCGUUGUACAAUUUUAUCAAAAUUGAGGGGGCCGGGGAGGGAGGGCAAUUGUCUACUCCUCAAUCCUAUGUGGCUGGAAUACUUAUCAAUGGAAUAGAUAGUAUAAUAAGAUUUUAACAGCAAAAAUUGUAGAAAAAGGGAUUCUUUGCCGAACUAUUCGACCCAUAAUCUGAAGCAUGUAGUGUUUUGGAGCAAGGGGGUAAGGUGGGAUCAACUCCAUGGCUCAGAGAGGCAAAGUGCCAUUCAUCGCCUAAUAGAUAAAUCCUUCUCUCAGUUAAAAGCCACACUGGUUUGCAACUAUCAAUUUGAAAAAAGAAAGCUAAUUUAAGAGGCAAUAUUUUAAGUUGUUUAAGGAAUAAAAAUGUUGAAAAAGCAUGAACUCAACUUUGGCCUACAAUAGGUUUUUUUUCUGUCUCAACAAUUCUUUUCUUAAUAUUCUUUUUAACUUUAGUGCUGUCAAUUUACUUCAUGGCCCAAAGGCAAAAAAACAAAGACUAGUGAUUGACACAAGAACAAUCUUUAAUGCAAAUUUCAAACUCAUUAAGAAAUGAGAGUGUGAAAUAAACAUUCAACGCGAAGCAUCUAAGCUGGAUCGCAGGCUGGAUGACAUUGAAAUUGUGGUGAAGAUAAGUUUUCAAAGUCUCUUUCAUUUCAGCUUACCUGUUCAUUGAUAGUUUCAUGCUUUAUGAUAAAAUUUUUUUCUUGAGCACUUUAUGAAAAGAAUAUUUAACUCAGUUUGCUCACUAACUAAUGAUUACACAAGCACUCAACUUCCGCACAUUUGCACGGGCUUAAUCUUGUAUUCUUUCUUUUUUUUUUAAUAAAAAUAUUAUUAUUUUAUUAAAUCUAUACUAGUGACAAAAAUUAUAUAAAUAAUAUACGGAUACAAACAGAUCUAAAUAGCAAGUGCUAAAUGUUACAGAUCUGAAAAAUUAAUAGAAUAUUAUACAGUGGAACUCACAAAAAUCAAAUGAUAAAACAUUUAUUGCUAAGAUUAUCUAUGCAUGCUUCCAAUUGUACGGUUUACUUCUUCCAGAUGGUAGGGUGAAAUCUGAGGGAUACAUUUAAAAAUUUUCAAAUCUGGCAAUCAACUUCGAAAAAACAAAAAAGAUCUAACACAAGAAAUAGAAAAACUACAAAAAGUCUCACCAGGAAUCCCACAAAAUCACGAUCGCCAUCUUUACAGCAGCCAUCGUCAACCAUUUGAUCUUCAAUUUUACCGUCUUUGGAACAAAAUUUUUCAUUAGAUUUCAUCAUAUAGCCCAAUCUUGCAGUUCAUCGUCACUGUGCCAGCACUGAAGUAAGCCCUCUUUUCCAAAUUUUCUUUUUUUGUAACUUGAAAUUUGUGUGAAUUAAUAUGCGCAACCUAUGGAUGUUUGGAUCUUUCAUAUUAUUAGUCUCCUCGAAUUUGUUCCUUUGUUCAUUCGUAUGCAAUUUUUUAAUCACAUAUUCUGUUUACCUGAGGAAGUCUGAAUUGUGAUGAAUUUUGUAUUGAUUCAAUAUCAAAUUUGAUUAAAGGGAAAAAGAAACUGCCCUACGAUCAUAGCAUGUAAGCAUGAUGGAAAAAUGCCUAAACUAAAUACAUUGUUGUUCACUGUUUUUUUUUCUUUGGUGUAAUUGGAUAUUGAAACGGUUGAAGAAAGGGAAAGGAAAAUUUAGGAUUGAAUUGGGGUGUUGGCACUUGCAAUUGAUCUGCAGGUGUUUUUUGUUUUCUUACAGUUGAUCAUGACGGAUUAUUAUGGACGAGUUCCAUGGGAAUUAUCAUCAGUUACAAAAAGAAAAUAAACGGGAAGUGCUUCAUAGAAUGGUAUCCUGAGAUAGUGAUUGUGAAAUCAGUAGCCAUCGCAAGUGGAUUGUCAAAAUUAAAGAUGUAAAGACAUAUAAGACUGCAGCUGGAUUGUGAUGGCUAAUCUUAUCCUAUGUAGUGAAACUUCUUGAUCUAUGAAACUCAUGUACAACAUGAGAUAUAUGUACACCAGUUAAUUUAUUUGGGUCUUUACAAGUAAAUUUUCACUUCAGAUUUAUUGUAGUGUUAUUUGAAACCAUGAAAACAGCAGAGAGAAGUUGAUCAUGAAAAAAACUACUAUAGCUGACAAGAUUGGCGUUAUUUGGAUUGUCGGUUUUCACUUAAAAAUUUUGAAGUAUUUUCUCAAUAUAUUUUUCAAUCACUUUUUUAACUCACAUACAUCACAUUAUUAUAAUAUAUAUAUAUAUAUAUAUAUAUAUAUAUUUAACGAAACUCUAUAAACUUACAAUUCAAACUGUAACUUUUCAUUGUAGUGCGUCCUUUAAAGUGACUUUCAUUUUAGUCCGUCCAUUUUAAGUGAUUUUAGUGCGUCCACUUCAAUUCAUGCACAGGAAGGACCGGUCCCAGAAUUCUGUAGCAGGACAAUGAUUUAGCGUGGCCUGGAAAAUUCUAUGGAAACAAGGCAAGAAUGUCACCUUUGGGGUGUCCAAUAAUGUUAGUGUCAAUCAACCUCACUAUUAAAAGAAGAAAAGAUUGUUGAUAAAUCCAUACAUCAAAUCCGUAUUCAAUAUCUUUACUCGAAAUUGUGCUCCCCCAAGGAAGUACAAGUAAACUUUUACCCAUCAAAUUUGCAUAAACAAUUUUGUGGCCUAGAGAAAAGUUCAACCUAGGAUGUUCAAGUAUAAGAUAAACAUGAAUGAAGGGAGAAGGUUGAUUGAGGCCCUAUUCAUCCUCAAAUUUGAUUACAUAUUCCAAUCUAUUGCCACAAAAAAAAAAAAUCAUGCUCAGCAAAAAUUAUUUUAAAAUAUAUGAAUAUAUGUGAAAGAGGAAGAGAAUAAAUACACAAUAUAACUUAAUAGUUUUAUUAACUAAACUCAACAAUAAUGCUCACAAAUAACAAGUUCUGAGUACUUCUAAUCUAAUUGGGUGUGUGUGUUUCUGUCUAUAAGAGAGAGGAGUAUCUCUCUCCCAACAUGAUAAAUGUUUAUAACUUGCUGAACUUUAAUAACCGGGACAUUAGGAAAUAUUUCUUUCCCGCAUCAACUUCGAAAUUCUUCUACUUACUAAACCAACAAAUAAAAAAACUUGCCACAUAAGUAAUUUAAUUUAAUAAUUAGGCUUGGUUUAAUUAUCUACACAACCAUUUGUCAGAUUUCUUGGGCAAUUACGUAGUCAACCCAACCUUGCUAACUGUCAGCGUAGAAGGACCUUAGAAAUUAAAUAACAGCUUAUCAUGCACUGCAUAAAAUACGUUUAUCUGUAGAGCUCGAGCUCGUAAUCAAUUUGUGAGUCACACUGAUCAAUUUGUGGGUCUUAGAGGUUUGAAGUUAAGAGGUAAUUCCGGCGAGAUUUGGAGUUGGGAAUUUUUUUUAUUUGUUUUCUUGCCUCCCAAGAUCUUAUUCUCCUUUAUUCCUUUGUUUGUUAUUACUUCUUUUUUUUUUUAAUGAGUUUUAAGAAGUUAUGGUGAUAGUGGUGGUUAAGAGGUUGAUGAUGAUAGUGGUGAUGGGAUGAUCAAGAGGUUGGUGUUGAUAGUGUGAUGUUCGGCUAAUGAAGACUGUGAGAUUUGGUAUGGAUUAUUACUUGAUUUCUAUUUCUUUUGAUGAAUUUUUAGAUAUUAAUUUGUGCUUUUUGAAGGGAUUUUGUCUGAGGAAUAUUUGUAGGGUUUAUGAAUUUGACUUUAUUCAGAAGAUGAAAAUAAAGGAAGGGUUAUUUUUGGAGGUUUGGUAAAUUUGAGGGUAAACAUGUAUAAUCUCUCUCUCUUUAUCAGAUUUAACUUAGUUUGUAAAUUGUGCAAAAAAUUAGAAGUUGAAGUAAUGGACUGCUAAAUUUAAAGUUUGGGAUGCAAGUUCCAAUUGCGAAAUUGUUGAGGGGUGCAAAUUACAAUUAACACUAUUUCUAUUUUAUUUUAUAUAUACAACUUGUUAAAGGACAACUAAGGAGGCAAUGGGGCGGGGUUGGGGUGGGGGACCCCAUCUCCGUCCGCUGCCCUACUGCCUACAAAUUCCCCCCCCCCGCGCCCAUCCCCAUCCCCCGCUUCUCCGGUGGCCUAAUAAAAAUUUAUUAUAUAAUUUUAUUAUAGUUAAAUUUUAGCAAAUAAUCAAGUACUAAAAUAUCAAUACAUCACCAAAUUAUUAUUCAUUGUAAUUUCACAAUUGAAACUUAUAAAAACAAUCAAACAAAAGUUAUUUGAAUACAAUCCAAUAGGAUGAAAUAAAUACAACUAAAGUAGUCAAGUUUCACUUUGGCACAAAUACAAUCACUAAUUCAUUAUUGUGCUUGUGCUUUUUUUGAGAAAAAAUGUUAUUGUAUUAAGUGUAAUUAGGGAUGUAGUAUAAAUGUAUUAGUAAAUUUAGUAUAACUGGUGGCUGUCAAACUACAAAAAUAAAAUUUAUAUUAGACCUACUACCAAAACUAAACAAGUAUAGUGGUAAGUAGGGUCGUCUCCUCAGGGAACCGGUAGAUUUAUCGCACACAGGUAAUUGGGGAAUUUUUGAAGAGAGAGAGAUAAGUGAAACAAAUUAAAGACAUAAGAUUACUAAAUAAACAAUCGCAAUAAAUGCAAUAACUCAAGAAUGAAAUAAACAAUUAAUUGACACAACCUAGUCAAGGAGAUAAUCUCGGCACCGGUUCACACAAUGAUUAUAGAUACCAGGAUAAUUCACACGUUCGCGAAUAAAUUGGUUCUAUCAAUUUAGCAACCGCCAAACUCCCAAUCUCUCCUUAAUUAUAUGGUAGUCCAAAGACGCUCUUAAACUACCCUAUUGUAAAUUAGAUAACCCCAGAGACACUCGAAGGAUUUAAUCUAAUCACAACUUUAGGAAUUAGAGAACCCAAUUCUAGUUAACAAACACACAUGCGGGUUCAUUUAAACUAGAUUAAUUAUUCCCACGACCCAGAUUAGAUUAGACUGCUUGCGAGGCAAUGAAAUUGUGCCAUUCGCCACUAAUUUAAAACAUUCAAGUGAUACGCACGCCUGUCCUAAUUGGCAAUAUAUUAUUUAGACAAUUGAACAACUGGCCAUAUUGAUCCAAUCAAUCCAAACAAUAACAGGCAAUUCAAACAAAGAAUAAUUAAAUACUCACAAACGCAGAAUUUAGAAUAAACAAAAUGAUCUCACAAUUAUUCAUGCUCCGGGCCUUGAUACUCCUCAACUAGAUAAAGAAAUUAGCCUUGCCGCAUAACGACGAAGCAAUUCAAAGUUUUCAUAGUAAUUUCGUUCAUGAAGAAAUCAAAAGUACGUCGGCUAGUUCUAACAAAGAUAAAAGCAAACGAGAAAAAGGUCCAAGUCAGAAGAUGAGAUCCCUAAUCUAUUGCAAUCUUCCUAUUUGUAGUGUCGCCGCCGCUUCCCCUUGCUUUUCGAAUUAGAAUUUGUUUCUCAAAAGGAUUUGCGUCCUUAUUUUCCUCCUUGAAUUGUUGCCAAAAGUCUUCUUUGAAAAGGCUUCCUAAUCCCACGCAGGUUCAAAAGGUGUCUCCAAAGAAUAGCGAAAGCUCCAGGGAUAACUGACGGUGGCUCCGUCUUUUUCACGCAGCUCUGCGUUAUCUGGCGUGGGCACCCAGAGAAUGCCUAGCCUUCUGGAAUUUGCCCUCCUCUUGUCACUUUUAACACACUCUCUCUGCAAAUAACACAAAUACCAAAUAUGGGCAGAAAUCCAGUGUCUUACACAUUAAGACCAAAUAACAGCGAAUAAAACACACAAUUAUCUCCCUAUCAAUAACCAAUUAAUAAUUUGUAUUAGUACAUAUAUAUAAUUAUUAGUAUAAUUGAUAAUAUCAAUUAUAUUACAUAUACUAAUAUACAUUAUAUAAUACAUAUAACUAAUAAUAUCAUUAUCAUAAGUUUGUAACUAAUUAAAUUAUAUAUUAUAUAUAUAAUUAUAUACAUAGAUAUAUUAUAUAUUUAUUUUUUUAAAGCGGGUGGCGGGGAGGAGAUAGGGCGGGGGUACACUCCCCUGUCUCCCACCCCAUUUCUAAGCCCCAGGGGUGGGGGGGGGGAAUUCCCCUCGGCCCCGUACCACCUCCCACCCCAUUAUCCCCCGCGGGACGGGUACCGGCGGCCACCCGCCCCAUUGCCAUCCUUAGGGACAACUGUCGUAUUAAGAGAAAUAUUUUAAAGGGAUAAUUUCAUAAACCUCCCCUGAGGUUUUUGAUAAUUUUAUGUGGCUCCCUUAAAGUUUCAAAAAUUACAUCUACCUCCCUUACCCAUUUAAAAUGACAAUACUAAUCUUAAUAUUUUAAUAAAACUCUCUUACUUCCAUGUUUAUAAAAAGGAUGGAUUUUACAAUUUUUUUUCUUUUUUCCUUCUUAUUCAUUUCUCUUAUAUUUCAUUAGAAGUAUAAAAGAACUAUCAAUGUUGUCGCUAAUAUCUAUCCAAAUCAAACUUUAAACUAGUAAUUUUUUUGAUGACUUUUAAUAUCAUCCAAUUUUUUGUAGCUCUUUUUUUUGUAUCAAAAUCAAGAAUAAAUCAACAAUAAUUAAAACACAAAUGGCCCAAAAUCACUACCAAACUAUGGUAGUUCUAUCACUAAACUAGUCCAUAAACUUUUAUUAAAAAAAUAGUCCAAAAAUUUCAAAAGCACAAGGUAACACUUUCUUGUCUAUCUUAAAAAGAAUCUAUAUUCCCAAUAAAGCACUAUAAAAAAUAGCUUAUCAUAGCAAAAGAUUUAUUGUUAUAGUUGAUUAUUAAAUAACAAAUAUUGACAUGAAAAACUUGGGACUCUUUUAUAUAUAUAUUAUAUAUAUAAUUGUGUCAAAUUACUUUACAAUUGUUUAAAAGAAUGAAUUGAACUUUAUAAUUAUCAUCAAACUUUGGCAAUCAACCUUUCCUUACUUUAUCGAUAAUCAGAGUAUGGUCACUAACUACUUCUCUGACUAAAAGAUAACCCAAGGUACAACCAUAGGAUUAAAUCUUUUAACAGCACCAAGAAUUAAAAAAACCUAAUUCUAAUCAACAAACAUGUUGCAAGAGUUCAUCUAAAUUAUAUCAUAUAUUUCCUGACAUAGACCCAAUUAUGCUAGUCAACACAAAUAUUAAAACAGACAAACAAUUACAAAUUUAAUUAUUUCAAUUGACAGUAGACUAUUGUGAAUAAUCAAAUAUUGGCCACUUAUUUAAUUACACACAAUAAUCAUCAUACACGUAAUACAGGAGAUAUACAAAUACCCACGAAUAGAUGAAACAGUAAACUUAAAUUAGAUAUCAUAAUUGUUUGUAGAACCAAGUUUUUGAUUAUCCUCUAAUUAGAAAGAAAAUUUAGCCACUUCUUAUGGAGAAAUGCAGCCAAGAAAAUUAGGUUUUUGUCUUGAGAGAAGAAAAAAGAUAAACCACCUAACUACGAUGACAAAGUGUAGAGAGAGUUGGGAAUUAGAUAUCGAUAUUCUCACCCUAACAAUCUAUAUGAUAAUCUCCUAAAAAUUAUUCCAAUAAAAGGAAUUAUCUUCCAUACUGGAAUAAUCUAUUUUCGUAGAUAAUGAUAUAAUAAUAUCCUUACUAACUAGUUGCAUCCAAAAAUAAAGUUUUCAAGGCUGCAGAGAAUCAAUCAAUUAUUCUCUUUAAUUGUUGAAAUUAAUCUCAGGUCCCACAACUUCUGAAUUUCCUAGGCUCUUUAAGGCGUGCCCAUACUUUUAUAGCAAAUAGACUUUUCAGCAACUCUUUUUAGUCCUCUUUCAUCCCAAAUUCUUAUGACAUCACUAAAACACAAAAUAUAAGUAGAAUCCACAAAAUAACACAAUAAUCUACUAAAAUGAAAGGAGAAUUGACACAAACUAUAUCUCAAUUAGGCACACUAUCAUUUAGUGACACAUGAUGAUGUAAGUAAUAUUACAUUAUUAUGAUGAUAUAUGUGCUCUUGAGUAUGCACCACAUCGUCCAUGAGUGGUUCCGAAAAUCAAGUUUUUAAGAAGGUUUUAAAACUGGAAAUCUUACCGGGUCAUAGGUUAUUAGUUCAAUCGUUAGGCUACAUGCUGUGUUUUCAGACUCGGACCGGAUCGGCCGGUCGGACCGGUUGGACCGGGAACCGGCCAGGCAUCCGGUCCGAGUUAGUUAAAAAACUCGGAUGUUAUAAAAUCGGUCAAACCCGGUCCGGUGAACCGGAAAUUUUGAUUAACCCCGGUUUUUUUUUCUUUUUCGGCCUUUUUUUAGUCAGAGUUUGACAAAUCGGACAAAAUUGAAAAUUGACAAGGUCACAAAACUUGCGUCGGCUACUCUGCUGCUUCUCUUCUCAUACAUUUUCUUCCUUUCUUGACUUUCUUCUUCAGAUCUCCACCGCAUCUCUUGAGAUUCAUCGAUCAUCCUUCAAUCUCUAGCCUCCACCGCCGCAACAGCCACCAGUUCCUUCAGAUUUCAAGACAAUCAAGUAAUUAGCAUGCGGGUGAACUGAAGCUUUGUUUGGUAAUUUUUACAAUCUGAAGGUUAUUAUUGCUGAUUCGUUAUGCUAAAGUUGAUAUGUGACUGGAAUUUUUUGAUUCAUUAUGCUGGACAUUUGGGAUUUGGAUAUUACGGGUGUGACUGAGAAGCUGGAGUGUUUAAUUAUAUUUGGGAUUUGGGAUUGGAAUAGUGGGGUCAGGGGAUCAGGGAAAACGGCUCUUACACGGAAGGUGUUUGAUAUUUUGCCUGUGAGGAGGAUGUUCUCACCGAGGAUUUGGGUUUCUUAUAUGAUACCCUUCAUGAUGAACCGGUGAGCGUAGACUUGAGAGUGAAGAUAUUGAGGAAAAUGCUAGAGGCAGUCUGGUUGUGAUGUCUCGGAAAUGAUGACUACCUAUGUUGACAUUCCCAAGCUCACUCAGAAGCUUUACCAACGGUUAAUGGGCAAGAAACUGAGUUCUCACUUCUGGUCUAUCUUCGCUUGGAUGUUCAAAGUUCCAUGCAGCCAUCAAUGUAAAUUUCUGUGAUAUUUGUCUCUAAGCAAUGAAAACUUAUUUUGUCUUUUGUCUUAAAAAAAAAAGAUUGAUAUUUAUCAAGCAUUUGAACAUGAACUUGCUACCUUAUUUGGAUUGCUAUUUUUUAAGGAUUAAACAUGUAUGGGAUUUCUAUUUUAUAAAUUUUGUGAGUUUGGAUGAAUUUGGUUAUAUUUUGUAAAUUUGAUUUGCAGGUAUAUAUAUAUAUAUAUAUAUAUAUAUAUAUAUAUAUAUAUAUAUAUGAGGUAUAUAUGAUGUCAUCCGGGUCGACCCCCUAUCGACCCCCGUCGAAUCCAUUGACCCCACGACCUGACCUCGACCGAGUCGAGUCCUGGUCCGAGUCUGAAAACAUAGGCUAAAUGUUACCAAGUCAUUGUUAAUCUGUGACAUCAUAUAUAUCAUAAAUAAUUAAUGUCAAAAAUCGUUCAAUACGUCCCUUAUAUUUUGCUAAAUGAUUUUUUUGGUCCUUCGCUUUUAAAAUGUUAAUUUUAUAUCUAUUACAAAUUCAAGUUAGCAAAAUUUGGUUCCAAUCUAAAUUUUUGACUACUUUUUAGCCUAAGAUCGCCAUGUGACCUAUAUGCAAUCAUUUUUUAUGUAAAAAAAAAAUGUCAAAUACCACUUUUUUAGUGAUAAAAAUAAAUAUGGAUUGGGUCAAAUUCCAUUUUUGUUUUAAAAAAAUGAAUAUGAUUUGGAUUAGAUCAUACUUUUUAAAGUAAAAAUGAAUAUGGAUCGAAUAAUUUAUUUAACUACAAAUGGGAUGUAACCACUGUUUAAUACUAACAACUGUUAAGUGGAUAGGAACACGAAUAGUAAGAAAUUUUGGAUUUUGUAAACAAUUUUGAGCAAAAUUAUAAUUUUUUAAAGGUGAAAUGAUAGAAACUUAAAUAUGAGGUAACAUUGAAAUCUAAAAGUAAGUAUGAGGGCUAAAUGGUAAAAUGUCAAAAAGUAUAGUGCGUUAAUCGUUUCCUAUAAUUAUAUAUGCUAAUGUGGGGCCACAUUUUUUUUUUUUAAAAAAGAAAAGCAAGACUCAAAACGGUUUAGUAAAAACACGUCGACGGUUCGUUGGUCCGACCAAACGAUCUAGUUGGUUUUUACUAUCUAGACCGAUUUUUUGAUCCGUCUUAGUUUGAGACUUGGUUUAGUUCAGAAAGCUACUCGAUCAAUAGUUCAAUCAGUUCGCUCAAACAGUCAAAACUGAGUUUUAUAAUAUUAGUUUUUAUUUAAAUAUUUUCAAUACCCAUUUAUAAGAUUAUGGCAUUUGUAAGUUCUCCAAGAACCAAAAAUAAAAAGAUAUUUGUGCUAUAGUUGAAAUGAUGAGUGAAGAAAUUUACUGAUGCUGUCAAUAAUGUAUCGACGGGAUACUUAAGCAACGAAUAAUACUUUUCUUUGGGUAAACUAUCAAGUAUUAUUGAUGAAGCACAUAUUACACGAACCUCCAGGGGGAUGGCCACUAUUUGGCCCGUCUUCAAUUCGCCACACAAGUAGCUGGACUCAUCUAUAAAAGGGUCAAUCUUUGGGCAACCAAAUGCACGCCAAACCCAAAAAUACACACGAAAGCAAGCCUGCAAAAACAACAGAGAGGAAAAAAUGGCUCCCUGUUUUAGAGCACUAGUCAUAGCAAUAACAUCGCUGUUGAUGAUAUCUUCAGUGAUCAGGUCUUCCGAUGCUGCUGGAAUUGCCACCUACUGGGCCAAAACACCGACGAAGGAAGCCUGGAAGACGCAUGCCGGAGAGGUACCUAUGACUACGUGAAUCUUGCCUUUCUGAUAAAUUAUGGCAAUGGCCAGACACCAGAAUUGAACUUAGCUGGGCAUUGUGAGCCAAGCGCUUGCUCCUCGCUUAGUUCUGAGAUAAAAGCUUGCCAGAAACGAGGCAUCCAAGUGCUUCUUUCUCUCGGUGGAGCUCCAAAC